GUUUUUUUUUUUUUUGGCCGGCCGUGGGAGAGCUUUGUGGUGCUCUAGCUCACCUUCUAUGCACAUGAGGUGUUCAAUGAAAUGCCCGAGCCAUACUUAAGCUUUCUCCUCUCAAAGCUCCUUGUCCAAGCUCCAUUUUCCUCAAGAUUUGUCUAAGUUUGGCGGUCCGUCCUAUCCCGUCCCCAUCCUCACCGCCAUCGAUUGCCCACGCUGAUCUCGUCGCCGGCACCACUGUGGUGAGCCUCUUGAUCUUAUCUUCUUUCUAAAAGCAAAAAAAGUUCUUACUUGUAUGAUUUAGAUAGAUACUUGUGUAAUUUUCUUACUUUUAUUAUUGUUUGUUAUUAUAUAGUGCGAUGGUUUUGGUAUCCGCCUCCGUCGGCCCUCGUCAUGUCUAUGAUUCGGAUGUGGUAUAUAUAUUAUCUUUUAUAACUAUUUGUUUCAUUUAGUGUUUAUGACAAUUAUGCCGACCAACGUGACAUAGAUUUUUUUAUCUAGAAGGUAUGUGAACCGGAAAUUCCAACCGACCCUAUUGUCGAGAGGUUAAAUUUAGUUGAAGAAGAAAACAAUUACUUGAAGAAAAAAUUGAAAAAAAAUUGAGGAGAAGAUGAUAUUGGAGUUGCGUGUUGCAGAUGUCGUCGAUGAUCACAAGAUCAAGAUGGAUGCAAUGCGCUUGAAGUUUGAAAGAUUAGAAAAUAUGCCAUUCAUACUGAGGCUUGGUAUCAUUAUGCCGUUGGAUCAAUUGUUACCUUAGUUGCGAUUAUGAUCGCAUUUCUUGUUGCAUUGAAAUGUUUUAGAUAGUUUCAAUGUAUGGUUUAUUUAGAUGCUCUGGACAGCUAUAUGUUGUUCAAUGAGAACUAUGUAUCUACUUUGGUUUUAAUGUGAUGAUGAACUUCUAUUUAAUUUGGUCACUUAUGUAUUCAUGAUGUUCUGUAAUGGUUUUUGACACACUUAAUUAUAUAUAAUACACGCAGAUGAACCGGCAAUGGAUGUACGGUAAUAGACGCACCUCCGAGUAUAUUAAGGGCGUGCGUAAUUUUCUCAAAGUGGCUGAGGCAAACAAGCAGAAUGGUUUUAUGUGUUGUCCAUGCCCUAUAUGUGGGAAUACGAAGUCUUACUCUAACUGAAAAAUCCUUCACACCCACCUUCUUUAUAAGGGUUUCAUGCCACACUAUAAUGUUUGGACCAAGCAUGGAGAAAGAGGGGUUAUGAUGGAAGAAUACACCAAAGAAGAAGAGGAUGAUGACAACUAUGUGCCCCCUGAAUACGGUGAUGCUGCAACGGGGGAAGCUGAAGAUCAAGAGGAACCAGACGAUGUGCCCGAUGAUGAUCUUCGCCGGGUCAUUGUUGAUGCAAAGAGACAAUGCGAAAGUGAAAAGGAGAAGUUGAAGUUCGAUCGCAUGUUAGAGGAUCACAAAAAAGGGUUGUAACCGAAUUGCAAAGAUGGCAACACAAAGCUCGGUACCACACUGGAAUUGCUGCAGUGGAAGGCAGAGAAUGUUGUACCUGACAAAGGAUUUGAGAAGCUACUGAAAAUAUUAAAGAAGAAGCUUCCAGAGGAUAACGAAUUGUAUGAAAGUACGUACGCAGCAAAGAAGGUUGUAUGCCGUCUAGGAUUGGAGGUUCAGAAGAUACAUGCAUGCCCUAAUGACGGCAUCCUCUACCGCAGUGCGUACGAGGAUUUGAACGUAUGCCCGGUAUGCGGUGCAUUGCGGUAUAAGAUCUGAAGAGAUGACCCUGGUGAUGUUGACGGCGAGCGCCCCAGGAAGAGGGUUCCUCCCAAGGUGAUGUGGUAUGCUCCUAUAAUACCACGGUUGAAAUGUCUGUUCAGAAACAAAGAGCAUGCCAAGUUGAUGCGAUGGCACAGAGAGGACCGUAAAAAAGACCGGAAGUUGAGAGCACCCGCUGACGGGUCGCAGUGGAGAAAAAUCGAGAGAAAGUGGGGGGACUUUGCAGGUAACGCAAGGAACGUAUGGUUUGGAAUAAGCGCGGAUGGCAUUAAUCCUUUUGGGGAGCAGAGCAGCAAUCAUAGCACCUGGCCCGUGACUCUAUGUAUCUAUAACCUUCCUCCUUGGUUGUGCAUGACGCGGAAGUUCAUUAUGAUGCCAGUUCUCAUCCAAGGCCCUAAGCAACCCUGCAACAACAUUGAUGUGUACCUAAGGCCAUUAGUUGAAGAACUUUUACAGCUGUGGAAUGGAAAAGGUGUACGUGUGUGGGAUGAGCACAAACAGCAACCUACAUGCAUUGCUGUUUGUAACCAUCAAUGAUUGGCCUGCUCUCAGUAACCUUUCACGAUAGACAAACAAGGGAUACCACGCAUGCACGCACUGCUUAGAUGACAUUGAAAGUAUAUAUCUAGACAAAAGCAGGAAGAAUGUGUACCUGGGGCAUCAUCAAUUUCUUCCGACCAACCAUCAAUGUCGAAAGAAAGGCAAGCAUUUCAAAGGCGAGGCAGAUCACCGGAAGAAGCCCGCCGUCCGUACUAGUGAUCACAUACUUUCUAUGGUCAAUGUUUUACAAGUAAUCUUUGGAAAGGGUCCCGGCGGACUAUCUGUUCCGAAUGACACUGAGGGACGCGUACCCAUGUGGAAGAAGAAAUAUAUAUAUUGGGGCCUAACCUAUUGGAAAGACCUAGAGGUCCUCUCUGCAAUCGACGUGAUGCACGUGACGAAGAAUCUUUGCAUGAACCUGCUAGGCUUCUUGGGCAUGUAUGGGAAGACAAAAGAUACACUGGAGGCACGGGAGGACAAGCAACGUGUGCACAAAAAAGACGGCAUGCCUCCAAAGCAGUAUGAAGGUCCUGCCAACUACGCUCUUACCAAAGAAGAGAAGGAAAUCUUCUUUGAAUGCCUGCUCAGUAAGAAGGUCCCGUCUGGCUUCUCGUCCAAUAUAAAGGGAAUAAUAAAUAUUCCAGAGAAAAAGUUUAACCUAAAGUCUCAUGACUGCCAUGUGAUUAUAACGCAACUGCUUCCGGUUGCAUUGAGGGGGCUUCGAUCGAAAAUGUUCGAUUAGCCAUUGUGAAGCUAUGUGCAUUCCUCAAUGCAAUCUCUCAGAAGGUGAUCGGUCCAGAAAUCCUACCAAGGUUAAGGAGUGAUGUGGCGCAAUGUCUUGUUAGUUUCGAGCUGGUGUUCCCACCAUCCUUCUUCAAUAUCAUGACUGAUACGUCUCCAACGUAUCUAUAAUUUUUGAUUGUUCCAUGCUAUUAUAUUAUCUGUUUUGGAUGUUCAAUGGGCUUUAUUAUACACUUUUAUAUUAUUUUUGGGACUAACCUAUUAACCGGAGGCCCAGCCCAAAUUGCUGUUUUUUUGCCUAUUUCAGUGUUUCGAAGGAAAGGAAUAUCAAACGGAGUCCAAACGGAAUAAAACCUUCAGAAACGUGAUUUUCUGAACAAACGUGAUCCACAGGACUUGGAGUGGAUGUCAAGCAAUCAACGAGGAGGCCACGAGGCAGGGGGCGUGCCUACCCCCCUGGGGGCGCCCUCCACCCUCGUGGGCCCCUCGUAGCUCCACCGACCUACUUCUUCCUCCUAUAUAUACCUACGUACCCCGAAAACAUCAGGGGAGGAGCAAAAACCCUAUUUCCACCGCCGCAACCUUCUGUACCCGUGAGAUCCCAUCUUGGGGCCUUUUCCGGCGCUCCGCCGGAGGGGGCAUCGAUCACGGAGGGCUUCUACAUCAACACCAUAGCCUCUCCGAUGAUGUGUGAGUAGUUUACCUCAGACCUUCGGGUCCAUAGUUAUUAGCUAGAUGGCUUCUUCUCUCUCUUUGGAUCUCAAUACAAAGUUCUCCUCAAUUCUCUUGGAGAUCUAUUUGAUGUAAUCUUCUUUUGCGGUGUGUUUGUCGAGAUCCGGUGAAUUGUGGGUUUAUGAUCAAGAUUAUCUAUGAACAAUAUUUGAAUCUCCUCUGAAUUCUUUUAUGUAUGAUUGGUUAUCUUUGCAAGUCUCUUCGAAUUAUCAGUUUGGUUUGGCCUACUAGAUUGAUCUUUCUUGCAAUGGGAGAAGUGCUUAGCUUUGGGUUCAAUCUUGCGGUGCUCGAUCCCAGUGACAGUAGGGGAAACGACACGUAUUGUAUUGUUGCCAUCGAGGAUAAAAAGAUGGGGUUUAUAUCAUAUUGCAUGAGUUUAUCCCUCUACAUCAUGUCAUCUUGAUUAAAGCGUUACUCCAUUCUUAUGAACUUAAUACUCUAGAUGCAUGCUGGAUAGCGGUCGACGUUGGAGUAAUAGUAGUAGAUGCAGGCAGGAGUCGGUCUACUUGUCACGGACGUGAUGCCUAUAUACAUGAUCAUACCUAGAUAUUCUCAUAACUAUGCUCAAUUCUAUCAAUUGCUCAACAGUAAUUUAUUCACCCACCGUAAUACUUAUGUUAUCUUGAGAGAAGCCACUAGUGAAAACUAUGGCCCCCGGGUCUAUUUUCCAUCAUAUUAAUCUCCCGUCAACAGGCUAUUUCUGGCGCCGUUUAUUUUGCUUUCUUUACUUUUAGUCUUUAUCAUAAAAAUACCAAAAAUAUUAUCUUAUCAUCUCUAUCAUAUCUCACUUUUGCAAGUGGCCGUGAAGGGAUUGACAACCCCUUUAUCGCGUUGGUUGCAAGGUUCUUAUUUGUUUGUGUAGGUGCGUGGGACUUGAGCGUGGUCUCCUACUGGAUUGAUACCUUGGUUCUCAAAAACUGAGGGAAAUACUUACACUACUUUACUGCAUCACCCUUUCCUCUUCAAGGGAAAACCAACGCAGUGCUCAAGAGGUAGCAAUGACGCACUUCCUAGUUCAUCUAGUCGACGAGAUUGUUGUUCUGGGCCCUGUGUUUCUACACAAUAUGUUCCCCUUUGAGAGGUUCAUGGGAGUCUUAAAGAAAUAUGUCCGUAACCGCGCUAGGCCAGAAGGAAGCAUCUCCAUGGGCCAUCAAACAGAGGAAGUCAUUGGGUUUUGUGUUGACUUCAUUCCUGACCUUAAGAAGAUUGGUCUCCCUCAAUCGCGGUAUGAGGGGAGACUGGCUGGAAAAGGCACGCUAGGAGCAGACUCAACAAUAUGUAGGGACGGGCAUUCUUGGUCUCAAGCACACUACACAGUUCUACAGAAUUCUACCUAGGUGACCCCGUAUGUCGAUGAACACAAGAAUAUUCUGCGCUCCAAACACCCGGAGCAGUGUGACGACUGGAUUACAUGUGAACACAUCAGGACUUUUGGUAGUUGGUUGCAAACACGUCUCAUGGGUGACAACACUAUUUCUGAUGAGCUGUACUCAUUGGCCAGGGGACCAUCUUCGACUGUAUUGAUUUACAAAGGGUACGAGAUAAAUGGGAAUACAUUUUACAUGAUCGCCCAAGAUCAAAAGAGCACCAACCAAAACAGUGGUGUCCGCUUUGAUGCAGCAACCAAGAGGGGAAAGGACACAUAUCAUGGUUACAUAGUGGACAUAUGGGAACUUGACUAUGGACAUGAUUUUAAGGUCUCUUUGUUUCAGUGCAAAUGGGUCAAUCUGUCAGGAGGCGGGGUACAGGUAGACCCACAGUACGGAAUGACAACAGUGAAUCUGAACAAUCUUGGGUACACAGACGAACCAUUUGUCCUAGCCAAUGAUGUGGCGCAGGUUUUCUAUGUGAAGGACAUGUCUACCAAACCGAGAAAAAGAAAAGAUAAGGAAUUCCUCCCUUCAAAGUCAAAGCGCCACAUAGUUCUUUCAGAAAAAAGAGACAUCGUGGGAUUGGAGGGCAAGACAGACAUGUCUGAAGAUUAUGAAAAGUUUCAUGAAAUUCCUCCCUUCAAAGUCAAGCUGACCCAAGCAACCUGUUAAACGAUGAAGAUUAUCCAUGGUUACGGCGCAAUAAGCAAAGGACACAAGCGAAGAAAAAGUGAAGACUUUCUCUCCACAGCUAUUAUGAUGAUGCCUUUGAUCUAGAAUAUCACUGCAGUUACAUGUGAAGAAAUGAAAUGCCUUUUGUAACAGAUGAGUUUCCGUCCGAAACCCUGAUACUUCGAAAGAGAUUGUCCGUUUUGUACACGAAGUGCAUCCAGUUUUUGCCGUAACCCUCUCAACUUUUUAGCACAUGCUAUGUGGGUGAAAUGACGAUACCAUGCCAACUUUCAACCUUUUCACAGUUCAUUUGAAGUGUUUUUCAAUUUCAGGGUCGUUUAGCUCAAAAAAUCAGGAAAUGCAUGAAAAAUACCAAAUGAUGUCAGAAAGGGUUGAAAAUUGAUGAUGUGGCUUUUAAUGGUGCAUUUUGAACAGACAAAAAGUCUGGAGUUCAAAUAAGUUCAAAAAAUGAAAUCCCUUUGUAACAGAUGAGUUUUCGUCCGAAACCCUGAUACUUCGAAAGAGAUUGUCCAUUUUGUACACGAAGUGCAUCCAGUUUUUGCCAUAACCCUCUCAACUUUUUAGCACAUGCUAUGUGGGUGAAAUGAUGAUACCAUCCAACUUUCAACCUUUUCACAGUUCAUUUGAAGUGCUUUUGAAUUUCAGGGUCAUUUAGCUCAAAGAACGAACUAAUAGCAAAAGGAAUCAACUAAAAACAUUUUAUAAACUUCUAGUAUUUUUGAAACUAAAAUUAUAAAAAAUUUAUGCAACUAAAAUUAUCAAAGUAUUUUUUGUUCAAAACAUUAAUAGCAAAAAGAAUUAUCAUAAAUAAUAUUUUUGUUUGAAACUUUAAUAGCAAAAAGAAUUGUCAUAAAGAUUUUUUUGUUAGAAACUAAAAUAACAAAAUAUGUUUUUGAAUAUAAUGAUAAAACACAGUAAUAUUAAAUAGCAGGAAAAAGAGUCACUCAAAAAUCUAUUUUUAUAGUAAAGUUAUUCACAAAAAUUUCAAAGAAUUCGAAUUUAAACUAUUCAAAUUUGAAAACUAAUGGCACUAACAGAAAGUUUAUAAUUUUUGUGACCUAACAGCAAAACGAAUUUAGAAAAUAAAGCAAAAAACAAAAGAAAAUAAAUAAUGCAAUAAACAAAACAAAAAAACUGGAAAAAAAUAUAAAAAAUGCCGCCUAGUGGGCCACCACGGCCUGAAUACAACUAGAAACCCAACCAGCCAGGUGGGCCAGGAUUCAGGCCCGCAGAAGGCCCAGUAGGCCCACAGGCAUAGCAGUGUGCGAUUAGGCCCGUAGGCCUGCAGUUCAGAGGAGUUCGAGAGAGAGGGCGGGGCAGAGCUUAUAAACAAAACCCGACGCGUCUCAGCUAGCGAGGUGGGACUAAACAUCCCAGCGCACCGCGCCAUUUACAGCACAAGGCCAUUGGUCCCGGUUGGUGCCAUGAACAGGGACCAAUGCACCCCUUUGGUCCCGGUUCGUCGCACCAACCGGGACCAAUGCCCACCUUUGGUCCCUGUUCGUGCCACCAACCGGGACCGAAGGUCUUUGCUUCCCGCCCUUUGGGCUGACGAAAAGAGACCAUUGGUCCCGGUUGGUGGCACGAACCGGGACCAAAGGGUAGCAUUGGUCCCGGUUAGUGCCACCAACCGGGACCAAAGGGUUGGGUAUAUAACCAACACUUAGNNNNNNNNNNNNNNNNNNNNNNNNNNNNNNNNNNNNNNNNNNNNNNNNNNNNNNNNNNNNNNNNNNNNNNNNNNNNNNNNNNNNNNNNNNNNNNNNNNNNNNNNNNNNNNNNNNNNNNNNNNNNNNNNNNNNNNNNNNNNNNNNNNNNNNNNNNNNNNNNNNNNNNNNNNNNNNNNNNNNNNNNNNNNNNNNNNNNNNNNNNNNNNNNNNNNNNNNNNNNNNNNNNNNNNNNNNNNNNNNNNNNNNNNNNNNNNNNNNNNNNNNNNNNNNNNNNNNNNNNNNNNNNNNNNNNNNNNNNNNNNNNNNNNNNNNNNNNNNNNNNNNNNNNNNNNNNNNNNNNNNNNNNNNNNNNNNNNNNNNNNNNNNNNNNNNNNNNNNNNNNNNNNNNNNNNNNNNNNNNNNNNNNNNNNNNNNNNNNNNNNNNNNNNNNNNNNNNNNNNNNNNNNNNNCGCCCACUGUGCCCCGCCGCCCCCUGUGAGCACCAUGCCCUGCUCCUGCGCCCCUCCCCUGCCCCGCGCCCCUGCGCCCCUGCCCUGCCCGCCGGCGCCGCCGUGCCCCUCCGCCAGCUUCCUUUUUUGUUAUAUAUACAUAUAUGCUAUUUUUAGAUGUUUUUACAUGUUUUUUUAGAUGUAUAUAUAUGAAAACUUGGUCUAUUUUUUUGUAGUAUAUAUAUGAAAACUUGGUCAAUUUUUUUUAUAGUAGAUGAUGAUGAUGAUAUGAUGAUAUAUGAAAACUUGGUCAAUUUUUUUGUACUAGAUGAUGAUGAUGAUGAUGAUGUGAUGAAAUAUGAAAACUUGGUAAAUUUUUUCUGUUGUAAUUUUGUUCGAUGAUAUAUGAUGAUGUAAUUUUGUCGAUAUACCCCCUCCUCAAUAACUUCGACAUGAGAGGGGGGUCGAUAUACCCCUCCCCGAUAACAUUUUUUUUAAGUUACUAAGGUAAAAUGUUCAUCCCCCUCUUGCUAUACCGGGCGACCAACUCUCGAGGCCAUCCAAACCCUAGAAAAAAAGUGUUGUCGAUAUUCUACCCCCUCCCGCCCCUACCCGACAAACUCUCGAGGCCACCCAAAACCCUAGAAGAAAACUCCGGUAACUUCGACAUGAGGGGGGACGUCGAUCAACCCCCUCUCGCCCGAACAAGUCUAUGUAUCAUUUUAUAUCGCGGUGGACAUAUAUCAAAGUUUGCUCAUAUGUCAAAGUUUGAAUUUUGACAUAUGCAACAUUUGAUCUAUGUCAAAGUUUGAUCAUAUGUCAAAGUUUGAAUUUUGACAUAUGCAACAAUAUUUGAUCAUAUGUCAAAGUUUGACUUUUGGCAUAGAUUUAUCAAGAAUGCCCCCAUUAUGGAUGNNNNNNNNNNNNNNNNNNNNNNNNNNNNNNNNNNNNNNNNNNNNNNNNNNNNNNNNNNNNNNNNNNNNNNNNNNNNNNNNNNNNNNNNNNNNNNNNNNNNNNNNNNNNNNNNNNNNNNNNNNNNNNNNNNNNNNNNNNNNNNNNNNNNNNNNNNNNNNNNNNNNNNNNNNNNNNNNNNNNNNNNNNNNNNNNNNNNNNNNNNNNNNNNNNNNNNNNNNNNNNNNNNNNNNNNNNNNNNNNNNNNNNNNNNNNNNNNNNNNNNNNNNNNNNNNNNNNNNNNNNNNNNNNNNNNNNNNNNNNNNNNNNNNNNNNNNNNNNNNNNNNNNNNNNNNNNNNNNNNNNNNNNNNNNNNNNNNNNNNNNNNNNNNNNNNNNNNNNNNNNNNNNNNNNNNNNNNNNNNNNNNNNNNNNNNNNNNNNNNNNNNNNNNNNNNNNNNNCUAUAUGUCACGUUGUCUGUCAAAGUAUUGAAGAAAUUCAUGGCUUCAUCAUUAGCCGGAAGUAACAGGCGUAUGAUGCUACGAAGCUCUUCAAAGUUGUUUUGGAACAGAGUUCCGGAUAGAAUAAUUCGAUUUUUGGUACGAAUUUCAGCAAAGGCCCUCCAAAUAGCGAUAUUCGGAAGGCUCUUGCUGAACUUCAUACCAAAUAGCUAAUUAUCCUAUCCAGGACUUCGUUCCAAAACAAUUUUGGAGAGCUUCGUACCAUUAUGCGCCUGUUACUUCCGGCUAAUGAUGAAGCCAUGGUUUUCUUGAAUCCUUUGACACUAGACACCCCAGCUUAGAGAAACCAGAACGCCCCGUAUUCCAGCCCAGAGAUCGAGGAGAAGUCUUCUGGAAUACGGCACUGCUUAGCAUAAAACAAAUCAGCUCUUUAUUACAAUCCAUAUUGGGUACAAGAGGAUUACAUCGGCAUGGCGACACUACGCCUACCACGGUUGCUCUAUGCAAGCAGCAGAACAACACGAAGCAGCGGAAUAACUUCUAACAGCGGAACAACGACGACGGUGGUGAACUCCACUCUGCAUGGACUCUGACUGGAACGCUUGUCCUAGCUCGCACACAAGGAAUCCACGGCAAACAAGCAAUCAAAUUCGGCAUGUCCUACAAACUGGCAUGACACGCCAGGUCAGUACAUUGAAUGUACUUGCAAGCUCACAACAACUAGAAGCAAUCAAGACAAACAACAGCAUGGCAAUUACAGGUUAACAAGGAUUAACAUGGUAAUAUCAGGAUAACAUGGCAUGAACAACAUGAACAUGAUACAGCGAGAACACUACGAACAUGGCAUGGACAUAUGAACAUGAUGAUACUAUUAUGCACCAACUUACUCUGCUCGGGUUACCUUGUAACCAUCACAUGCAUAAGCUUACCAUCACGGACACCACACGAUCAUCUCAGGAUCCAAUCAAGCUUGGUAUUACCAUACCGUAGUGAUCAUUACAUGACCACAAGGAGCUUGAUCUUUACCUGUGAUUCUCGCACAACAUCGCAAAUAACCAUCAACUCGGUAUCCACGAUACCACGGUGAUCCUCUCACGAUCACAUAACGAACUUCUUUCAUCAUCGAACCGGGGUUGUUAUUAAGCACAUUAUUAUUAUUACUGUUGACCCAUAAUGUGACCAACUAUGAACUAGGCCCUUAUCCGCAGGCGCGGCUAUCGAUAGAAUGAAAACACACUCUGCAGAGGUUAGCACGAUGUACCCACAUCACGGAACCCACGGCCUCGCACUCCCAUUCGGGUGGACCAACGGCGUUCCGACAAAACCGUCCUACUGCCAUGACACUCUCCCGGCCACUCCGACUAACUCCCCACUGGGCUAAGUCAUGGGUGGCCCCGUGCCUACCAAAGGCAUCAACGGCCACCGUCGUGGCAAAACAUAAACGGUCCCAAACGGGGACAAUGGUAUACCAAUCACAACAACGGGCACACAAGGCUUAUGUCCGCCUACCUGAUCAGGGUAGCGCGCGCCCAUAACCUUCCCUCGUUGGAGGCACCGGCGAGAGGCAUGACAAUAGACCUAGUUAGGACCCUCCCAUAAAAGGCAAAUGUGGUUGCACUAGUCAACUCGAUUUGGUGGCACCAUGACUCAGCCAACAGUUGUUCAAGUUCAUUUAAGUCCGGUUAAACUUGAAUGCAAUAAGCUGAGCCAUAUUAAAAUAACAUGAUGCAACUACAAUGCAUGAGCAUGAUAUCAAUAUAAGCAUGGGGGUGCAACAUAACUAUCAACCAUAUCAACAAAGAAUCAUAUCCAACUGAGCAUGGCAUAAUGACGAGCAUGAAUAUCACAAGUAUAACACUACUCAUAGCAUAACAUGACCACAAGCAUCAACAAUAAAUACCUUGCAAGAACACAUCAAUAACAUUACCGAGUAAGCACUUAACCAACUAACGGCAAAGGAACAAUGCAUACCAACGGUACUCGAUAACCGACAAUAGUCAUGCACCGAAGAACAUGACCAACCCAACAUGUACUACUGGCAAGCAUGAACAUAUGAAUGUAAUACUAGCAAGUAGAACAUGAUAACUAGGUGCAUAUGAACAUAGCAUGAAAGUAAACACAGAUCCAUAAGCAGCACCGAAACAACGAUAACCGUAUCAAAACAAGCAGACAUCUAUUAAAUAUUCAAGUUGAAAACCAUUCCUACUACAUGGCCAUCAUGCAAGUGGGUGUUGUGGCUUGCCUAGGGAUGAAGAAUACACCGGGGGAGAUGUGCGGUGUAGCCGCGGAAAGAUUCGCCGGAAACACUUCUCUCUCGAAGGGGGCUGUUUACGGGCAAGGGAAAAAUGGUCAUUUCCGGUAUGUCAAACCAUAGUGAAAAUGAUGAGAACAGAACGGGCUCGACAAGAUGAAGACAUAGGAGUUGGAAUCACCUCGAUCGGAGUUACGGCCGUUCGUUCGUUAGGCAGAAAAAUAAAUAAAAAGUAUUCUUUUUCUGCGCUAACGGGUGAACAUUCAUAACUUAGAGGUUACGGCCGGCGGCUGGAAAAACAGAAAGCGUAUUUUGAGAAAUACGAUUUCGCAGAAGAGAAAGCGUAAAGUGCAAUGAAGAAGCACAGAAGUACGCUUACUCGAAGGGAAAGCGUAUUUACAUAAAUACGUCUCCACUUAUCCCAGUCAGCAGUGGCGGGGCCGGCUCCUGUGUGGCUGACAGGUGGGACCGGGGUGACGCGGGGCCCACCCGCCCUGGCCUUCUUCCUCCUCCCGCGUACGCGCGCCUGGCCGAGGGAGGAGCUCACCCCGACGGUGAUUGCCGGCGGCACAGGUCACCUCAGUCGGCGCCCGGCCUACUGGUGUGUUCAAGAUGGCAAGGCGCACCCACUGGUGUACAACACGACCAGCAGAGAGGACGGUAGCGAGCAGAGGUGUGGCCAUGGCGGACGGCGAUGUCGGGUGAUGAGGGGCAGGGUGCUCCGGCGGCGAGAAUACGGAGCAAGGGCUCGAGAGAGCUUCGCCGGGGUUGGUGAGUUCCAAAGGUGAAGAAAAGAGGGAAGGAGGUGGUCGGAGCUGCGCCAAUUUAAGCGGAGCACCGCGGCGGCCAUGGCGGCGGUGAGAGGCUAGGAGAGCUUCCCGAGCUCGUUGGAGAGGCUGGGCGGGGUAUUGGGAGGUUGUGGAGGCGAGAGGUGAGCUCGGACGAGGUCGGGGAGGUCUAUUUAUAGCCGAGCCGAGGCGGUUGGCCGCGGACGCGUGGCCGUGGCUCGGGCGCCGCCGUGCACGUCCGGCCGAGGCUCUGUCGGCCGCAGAGGUCACGGGGAGGCCCGGGAAGAUGACGAGGGGGAAGAGGACGAGGGUCAGAGGCUCACGGAGACGAGUGGCGCUCGGGAACAUGAGGAGGAAGGGGACACGGCCGAGGAAGAUGACGCGGUCAUGGGCCGGAACUGUGCAGCGACGAUGAUGGCUCACCGGGGAAGCAAACAGAGGGGGAGAUGGCUCCAGGAGGACGGCGACGACGCGGGGAACACGCUAGACAUGCCCGUGCUCGCUAAGACACCAAGCAGAGGAGGGGGCUGAGCAAGAAUACGCUCUGUGCUCGGCCAGUGCGUGCCAAAACGAUGGUCACCACGCAGGCUGGCAAUAAGAAGACUCCACGGGCUGCCGUGAGAUGUCUGGUGAUUAGUCCCUGCAUCACCGAGCCUGAGGGAGGUGAUGUAUCAAGCAGAGGGGCUCUGGAUCGAUGGGAUUACUCCACUGAAGUUUGUUAUAUCAAACUGAAUCAGGUUACGGUGAUCAACAGCAAAGAGGUUGGAGCCAAAUGAGUUGUCUGGGGUGUUUAGGAUAGGAAGUACAAGAAUCCUAUGAAGUUUGGAAGGAAAUGGACAAAUAUAUAACAUAGUUGCUUUGCAACUGACCAAAAUGGUCCAGAAUAGAGAUUAUGAUGAUGCACUCAAAUGAAGAAGCCACUUGAGCUGAAAUUUGGCAUGGCAGUGUUAUCUGGCCAUAUGAAGAUGCUGUAAAAAUUUCAUACCAAGUGGAUAAACCAAAAUGGUACUUGCUUCACAAUCAUCUCCUUUAGACAGAAAGUUGCAAAAAUUCUAGAGGAAUAUUGGCUUGAUGAAUUGAUCCCAGAAUUGAUGGGGAUAGGUUAAAUGGAUAGAAGAAGGUUCUGGAAAAUUUUCAGCCAUAGUGUAGCAAAGUAAAAUAUACUUGCUUCACAAGCUGAAAAUUUUGACAGAAGCAAAGAUUUGAUCAUGGGCUCACAUAGAUCAAAGGAUGGAGCUAAACUUUUGAGGAGUGGGAUAAUAUGAGCACAUGAAUGAGUGUGCAAAAUUUCAACUCAUUUGGGUUAUCCUAGUUAGUACUUCCUUCACAAUGCAUUCCCUCAGACAGGAACUUUGAAAAAUUGCUCAGGAAUAUUCACAAGGCAAAUUGAGUUGAAUUUUGGCAUGAGGCAAUUAUUUGGACAUGAAAAGGAGUCCAAAAAGUUUUGGGUCAAUUAGGCAAAGGUAAAUGGCACUUGCUUCACAAACUGCCAUUCAGGACAGAAUAGGGAAGGAAUUAAUUGAGCAUGAUGGGAAACAUGGCCAAUGAAAUAUUUUUGCCAUAUUUGAGGAAGAUAUGACCCAAAUAAUUUAUGAGAAUUAUUUGGGAAUUUUAGGAGUGAUGGAAAUAUAGGUUGCUUCACAACCUAGGACAAAUUGGGUUAUUCCUUUAACAGAAAAAGGAAUAUUCCCAAGGAAAAGAUUAUUGGGGUUGGUCCAAGAUGGAAAUGGAAAGGUCUAGGGAUGGAUAAGAGGAUGACAAGCCACUCUGGAAAGAAAUAAGAGGUCAUCUUCUUCAAUUUCCAGACCACAUAGCCACGGAAAAAGAAAACUCAAGCAAAAAUCUCAGAAAAUAAAUGAAAAAGAAAAGGGCCAAAAAUCAGGCUGUGACACCCCACCCCCCACCCCCCUUCAAAAAAGCAAAAACCCCUGCUCCUGCCAGCUGCUGAAGCGUGGAUGCCUUUUGGUCCCGGUUGGUGUUACCAACCGGGACUAAAGGUGCUCCUGCCUGGGCGCCCCGCAGCGGCCACGUGGAGCCCCUUCUGUCCCGGUUCGUAAGCAAACCGAGACUAACGAUUUUGGGCUUUAGUCCCGACCCAUUAGUCCCGGUUCCAGAACCAGGGCUAAUGGGCCUCUAGAACCGGGACAAAUGGCCCGUUUUCUACUAGUGAAAAGUAGUACUCCAUUGCUUGUCAACACUUGGGUCAUAUAUCAACACAUCAGUGAACCGUUUACAAGCCUCCAGUACUAUCACCUGUAACGAUUCAUCCCAAAACAGCCCAAGACCACCACUUCUUCCCUCAGGGUCCACUCCUCUGAACCCUCGGAGACCGAUUCUCCAUCUUAGCUUUUCCACUUUCACAGCAGCCUGUCUCGCCUCGCAAAGAAAGACGAGCUUGGGGUGAUUGGCCCUUGAUAGGGCCAACAGGUCACGAACUGUCCAGCGGUUACCCACCCCCUGGCAGUUCCAAACUAGGUGAUUCAUUGCGUCUGGCGGUCCUCCUCGUGGGAGGCCGCCGAUGUCUCAUUCUCAUCAUUGCCCUUCAUAAUCUUUGCCCUCUUGCUGCCAUUACUACUCGUCUGCGAGUUACUCUUCUUUUGAUCCACACCACUGCCCUCCGUAAUGGCCAAUAGAACCUUAGGUUGGUUAGGAAGACUAGAAUUCGCUGCAUCAGCAGCAUCCAUGUGGAGCCUCUUCCUUGGAUCCUUAUCAACCUCCAUCCUCACUCCAAGAUGCUUAACCGGGCUUGAUGAUGUAUCUACAGUCUCAGGGUCAAUUUCCUCCUAUGACUUGGUCUGGGUGUCAGGGUCCGCCGCCUUCUUCCUCGCCUUAUCUUUCUGCUCAGUGUUCGGUUGCUGCUUCUGCUUCUCGCUCCCUCGGCCGAGGUUCUCAGCUCUUGGUCUAUUCGGUCCAUCCGCAUACAACCAGGGCCCAAACUUCAUGUUUUUCUCAUCAUGGAUACCUGAACCACACUCCUUGCAAUCAUGCCCGAUCAAACCACACAUGCUACAGAAUCUAGCCAACUUCUCAUACCGCACCAAGAACACCUGCCGUUCCUUCCCUCUGACAAUACUGACAAACUUCGUGAGGGGUUGGCGGAUGUCAUGGCGAACCCUAACCCUCACGUAGUCACCUCGGGUAUUCCCGUUCAACCUCAUCUCCUGAAUCUCCCCGGAGUUCCGCAACAGUGAUUCCACAAUAUUCCUCUUACAAAAGCCAUUCGGUAGCUUGUGAAUCUGAAGCCAGAUUGGCAUGAACAGCAUCGGUACCUCCUCCACCUUCGUGAAACCAUCAUACGGGCACAUAAGUACCAGCCAAUUCCUGAAGAGCCAAGGCCCCUGAUCCACCAUGCACUCCCAAUAUCCAAGGAAAGACGCCUGCACGACGAACAGGUUCGGUCCAACGGGCUUAAACCUAACAUGCUUCGUUGGGUUCCAGGUUGCACGCAUGUCCUUGUAGAACGCCGUCAGGCUGAAAGUUUUUUCAGUGUGAACCCUAGCUAGGGCUAACCAUCUAACUGCUUCAUUGAUCGCUGGAUCAUCCUCCUCGGUCACUAGGUCAUAGAAUUAUUCCUUGUCCAGGUUGAGUUGCUCCAUAAAAUCAUCCAGAUCCUGAUUCCUGGCGGCGCCGCCACCACCGCUGGUCCCUGACAGGGCGUCCGCCACCGUUUCCAUCGACUACUGCCGUGAAGGAGCGCGCGAGCCACCGGGGGGAGGUUCGCAGGCCACGAUCUCGCGAUCCCUAGCGGGGGCAGGCUGCGAUCGAACGUAGGUACUCUCUGGCGAUGGAGUCGCUAGGGAGGAGACAAAACCUGGCGUUAGCGUAGGGGAAACCAAUAUGUUUGAUCUUGCCAUGUAUAUUAUUAAUUACAUGAUGCAUGACAUUUAGUACAUGAUAAAAGAUAAUUACAUAAUGAACAUUUUGCUAUACACGAUGAAUAUUUUAUAAUUACAUGAUGAACAACUUUUUGAUUUGUGACAAUCAUUUUCUGAAAAUAGACAAUGUUUUGAAAAAAGAUAGGAGGAACCUAUUCCGAAAGAAAAAAAGAAAACAAUAUUAAACAAACAUUUGGAGCACAUGGAAAAACAUCACAUGAUAGACUUUGUGAAGUAGACGAAGAUUCUUUUAAAAUAUAAUGUGUUCUGAAAAUAGCUGGUGAAGAUUUUUUCAAUACAGUGAAUACAUUUUAAUGCGGAUACACAAAACAGUUGAAACAUACAUAACGAUUUUACAUCCAUGAACAUUUUCCUUUUUUUAAGGGGAAUAUAUUAAUAUCAUGCAGAUACCAAUUACACCCAGUCUCUGCACCUAUAAAAUGUCGCAAAGACAUCCAGGAUGCACACAACCAAAGAUAAAUAGAAAAGAAAUAAAAAAACAAAGGUCCCGCCACAGCGACCGAUUUCUCUCAGUAGCCGCACAUAAACCACCACCAAAUACAGCACGCGAAAACAUAAAAGGUCUCCAAAAGCAAUGCUUCCGAGAAGGAAACAGUGCACAAGCAUCAUCGUUGCCCUAUCCAAGAUCUUACAUUUUCACCAGGGAGAAGUCUGAGCUCUUAAAACAAUUCCUUCAGCAAGGCAAUUACCAGGCACAACUAAUGAAGGUCAUACCUUAGAUUUUUCACCCUGAAAGUCACAGCUCGGCACCCGAGGAGCACCCAAGGAAUAUUUUGUUGCAUGCAGAAAAAAUUUCUUUUUCUUAAAAAUCUAAAUUCCAUUACAAAGAAUGAAGAGUAAAAUCAAAAAUGUUAAAAGAACCCAAGAAAAGGGGAACCAUCACCACAGAAUGAGCAAUCCACGUAAAAUAAUUUUUAUUUUGACGAGGGCUAUGAAAAAUAUAGAUUGUCUUUAAGUUUAGGGAAAAUAUAAAUGCAAAGGCCACACGCUCGUCUCUGGGUGUCCUACUCGUUGGCCCACCACACCCUAUUCAUCGCCAUAAGCGCGAAAUCACUAAUUAAGGAGUACUCCUUCUAACUAUCACUUCCAUCUCCCCAGGUUGCGAUAAGUGGCGUGCUACAUAUGCGUCACUUAUCGCAACUUGGAAGUUGUCCCUUUUUUGUCGAUUCGUUUAUUCAAAAUGAUUAUCUCUUAAACCGUGUGUUCAAAUCUCGAACCGUUUUCACCAUUGGAUUUCUCGCAUCAAGAUCUUCAAAAUUAGAUCUCAUGUUGAUAGGUUUUGAAGAAAUUUUCUCACGAACAAAUCCAGACAAAAACGGGAUCGGGAACACUUUUCUUUCGUUUCCGAGAGGCACAGCCGUGCCUCUCGCGGAAGCAAAACCGUGCCACUCACGAAAGCAAAAUUUUGACUCUCACAAAAAAAAGAGAAACAUGUUUUUCCCCGUUUCCGAGAGGCACUGCCGUGCCUCUCGCGGAAGCAAAACCAUGCCUCUCGCAGAAGCAAAACCGUGCCUCUCACGGAAGGAAAAAAACAUGUUUUUUCAUUUCCGAGAGGCACAGCCGUGCCUCUCGCGGAGGAAAAACCGUGCCUCUCGCGGAAACAAAACCAUGCCGCUGGCAGAAGCAAAACCGUGCCUCUCGCUGAAGGAAAAGAAACGCGUUUUUUCGUUUUCGAGAGGCAUGGCCAUGCCUCUCGCGGAAGCAAAACCAUGCCUCUCACGGAAGCAAAACCGUGCUUCUCGCGGAAGAAAAAAAGAGAAAACUCAUUUUUUUUUCCGAGAGGCACGGUGAUGCCUCUCGCAGAAGCAAAACCAUGUCCCUCGCGCAAGCAAAACCGUGCCUAUCACGAAAAGGAAACGUAUUUUUCACCUAAAAAUCCAAAAUGAAAUUUGGUCCAAAAGCUAAGGAAGGCCGGUGAAAAACCGAAAACCCAAAAAAAUCUAAAAGGCAGCAAACCUAUGCGGAAAAAUAAAAUUAAAAAAAAUUCAGAGGAAGUGCCCAAAGCGCGACAUGUGGCGGCGGCUGAGAGUGGCGCGCUCUCAGCCCAUCCCCAAGUGACCUUUGGGGAGGCUGAAAACGAGCUCUCUUCAGUUAGUUGCUCUCCCAAAAGCAUCGGUUUCUACUUUUUUUUUAGAAAAAACAGACACUUCGUUCGACCUUGGGCCCGGGCCCAUUUGUUCUUCGUGCCGCACGUUUGUUUUUUCCCAUCAGUUUUCUCGACCUUUGUAUUUAUCUUUUAGGACCAUUCUUUAUUCUGUAUUUUUGGUUUUCGUAUUUCCUUUUUAUUUUUAUAAUUUUUUACCUUAAUUUCAUCUUUAUUUUUAAAAUUUUAUUUUUAUCUUCAUAUUUUCCCUUUUUAUAAUUUCGUUUUUCAAAUUCUGGUUUUUUCCUAAAUUGUGGUUUUUAUCUUUUUAUUUUUAUAAUAUUUUUAAAUUUAUGAAAAAAUAACUCGCGAACAAUACUCCAAAUUAGUAAACAUGUUUCCAACUCUGCAAACAUUAUUCAGAUCCAUGAACUUUUUGGAAAUGCGUGAACUUUUUGGGUCCGUGAGUUAUUUCCUAAAUUCACGAUCUUUUUAGAAUUCAUGGACACUUUCUAAAAUCAUUAAGUUUUUUCUCAAAGCAUGAACUUUUUUCAAAUUCACGAAAUAUUCAAAUUUCUAGGAUGUUUUUUCAAAUUCAGAGAAAGAAAUCAGGUUCGCAGACUUUUUCAAGUUUGUUAAAUUUUAGGAAAAUGGUGAAAAAGUAUUUAGCAAGUUUUUCAACAGACGUUUAAAAAACUAGCUACUUCGCACAGCAAGGAAUGCAAUUGGGUGGGCCACUCGGAUUUACUGUUCGACCACGAAAAACGUUAAAAAAACACUGUAGCACCCGGUACUGUAAAGUAUAUUAUAAUGUCCUUUUAUUUGCUCUGCUUUUAUUUUGAACAUUUUUUCAAUUAUUAAUAAAUAUACUGAACAAUUUUUUAAUACUUUUGUAAUAUAUGUUGAACAAUUUUUACGAAUACACAUUGAACAUUUGGGUAACAUACGCUGAACAAACUUCUAAUACACAGUGAAUAUUGUACUAUUUCUUGAACAAUUUCCUACUAUGCGGUGAACAUUUUCUUAAAACGUGAUGAAGUUUUUUUGUAAUAAACAGUGAACUUUUGUAUAAUACACAAAAACAAAAAAGGAAAAAGGAAAAGAAAAGAAAUAGAAACCGAAAAUACAAAAAUAGAAGAAACAGUGAAGCCAUCUGUGGCCCGGCCCAUCCUAGGCCGUGUGGAGGGACUCGCGUUAAGCGAGACAGGAGGGAACCUCAGGAGCAACUAGUUGACGAGCGCUCCUUCGGGUGCCUCGCAACGAUCACUUGCGGAUGGGCUGAGAGUGUGUCACUUGGCGCGCACUCAGCCGCCGUCACGUGUCGCGCUAUGGGCGCUCCCUCCGGAUUUUUUUUAUUUUUUCGCAGGCGUUUUCAGCUUUUUAAACGGGGUUUUUUGACUUUUGGGUUUUCCAUCGGUCUUUCUUAGCUUUUUGACAAAAAAACGAAAACAAAUUUUUGCGUGAAAAAAACAUGUUUUUUGUUGUUUCCGCAAAAGGCACGGUUUUGAUUUCCCGAGAGGCACGGCCGUGCCUCUCGGAAACAGAAAAAAAAACGUGUUUUCAGUUUUUUUUUCUUCCGCAAGAGGCACGGUUUUGCUUCCGUGAGAGCCACCAUUGUGCUUCUGCGAGAGGCACGUUGUGCCUCUCAGAGACGAAAAAAAACAUGCUUUUUUGUUUUUUUCCUUCCGCAAAAGCCACGGCUGUGCUUUCGCGGGAGGCUCGGAAACAGAAAAAAAAUGUGUUUUCUGUUUUCUCCUUCCGCGGGAGGCACGGUUUUGCUUCCGCAAGAGGCAUGGUUGUGCUUCCACGAGAUGCACGGCCGUGCCUCUCAGAAACGAAAAAAACAGUUUUUUUCUUCCGCGAGAGGCGCAUUUUUGCUUCCGUGAGAUGCAAGGUUGUGUUUUAGUGAGAGGGACGGUUGUGAUUUCGCGAGAGGCUCAGAAACAAAAUAAAUGUGUUUUCGUGCUGUCGGUACGGUUUUUUGUCCGAUUUUUUCUCCGGUUUUUUCGUAUAAAAAAAGUUCGUCAAAACCUACCAAGAUGGAUCUAGUUUUGAAAAUCUCGACACGAGGAAUCCAACGGUGAAAACUGUUCGAGAUUUAGACGCACGGUUUAAAAGAUAAAAUAUUUUUAAUAAACGGAUAUACGGAAAAAGGAAAACUUCUAGGUUGCGACAAGUGGCGCACAUGCAGCGCAUCAAUUGUCACAACCUGACAAGUUAGGAGUGAUCUUUGCAAGAAGUACUCCUCAAUUAGUGAUCUCGGGGAACCCUCGCUGAAGGGAACCGCCAAUCAGGUUGCCCAGGCGUGUGGGAAACAGCGGCCAUGUUUUCUGUUUUUUUUCAUGUUUUUUGUUUUCUUUUUUUCUUUCUUUUUUUUACUUUUAUUUAUACUUACAAAUAUUCUAAAUAAAUAUAUUACAAAAAUAAUUCUUCAUAAAAACAUUUGAAAAUGUUGACCAAGCAUUUGAAAAAUGUUAAAUGUGUAUAGAGAAAAUGUUUAUCAAAUAUAUGAAAAAUGUAUACAAAAAAGUUAUUCGGUCAUUUGAGAAAAUUUUGAACAAGUGAAAUGUUGACAAUGUAUUUCAAAAAUGAUGAAACAACUUUGAGCAUGCAUAUAAAAAUUGUUAAUCAACCAUUUGAAAAAAUGUUGAACAAGUAUUUAAAAAUUGUGAAAUACGUAUAGAAAAAAUGUUGACCGUGUAUUAAAAAAUGAUGAAAAAAUUUGAUCAUGAAUAGAAAAAUGUUAAUCAAGCAUUCGUAAAAAUGUUGAACAAUUAUAUAAAAAUGGUAAUCAAGCAUUUGAAAAAAUUUAAUAUGUAUAGAAAAAUGUUGACCAUGUAUUAAGAAAUGAUGAAUUUUUUUUAUCAUCAACAUCAAAAAAUUAACAAAGCAUUCGAAAAUAUGUUGAAAAAUUAUUUGGAAAUUUUGCUCAAGCAUUUCAAAAAUGUUAAAUUUGUAUAGAAAAAAUGUUGACCAUGUAAUUAAAAAUGAUAAUUUUUAUAAUAUAUAUAUCAAAAAUGUUAAUCAAGCAUUUGAAAAAAUGUUGAACAUGUAUUUGAAAAUUUUAAUCAAGCAUUUAGAAAAUGUAAAAUGUGUACAGAUAAUAUGUUGACCAUGUGUUCAAAAAAGUUAAUAUUGCAUUUUGAAAAAAGUAGUCAAGCAUUUUAUGAAAAUGUUAAUAUGUGCAUAGGAAAAAUGUUAAUCUUGUAUUUGAAAAAUGUUGAUGAAGCAUUUGAAAAUUGUUAAAAAUUUGUAUAGAAAAAAUGUUGACUAUGUAUUAAAAAAUGUUAAACUUAUAUUGAAAAAAUGAUAAAUGUGUAACAGAAAAAUGUUGUUUACAUAUACAAAAAUGUAGAAUGAAAANNNNNNNNNNNNNNNNNNNNNNNNNNNNNNNNNNNNNNNNNNNNNNNNNNNNNNNNNNNNNNNNNNNNNNNNNNNNNNNNNNNNNNNNNNNNNNNNNNNNNNNNNNNNNNNNNNNNNNNNNNNNNNNNNNNNNNNNNNNNNNNNNNNNNNNNNNNNNNNNNNNNNNNNNNNNNNNNNNNNNNNNNNNNNNNNNNNNNNNNNNNNNNNNNNNNNNNNNNNNNNNNNNNNNNNNNNNNNNNNNNNNNNNNNNNNNNNNNNNNNNNNNNNNNNNNNNNNNNNNNNNNNNNNNNNNNNNNNNNNNNNNNNNNNNNNNNNNNNNNNNNNNNNNNNNNNNNNNNNNNNNNNNNNNNNNNNNNNNNNNNNAAACAUGUAGAAAGAAUAAAAAAGAAUGAAAGCAAAACAAAAAACGGAGAAGUAAAAAGAAAAGAAACAAAAAACGAAAAUAGCAUUGAAACCCGAAGAAACAAAUGAAAAAAAAAUAAUAGCCCCUAGUAUACGUCGAAUCCUCGGGAUAUCCGAGGUCGAACAAGGAACAAUUCGGCUUUUUUGAAAAAGGAAAGCCCUUCGUUCUACACGGACAACCGCUACCGGUCGUAUAGAGUUUGACGUUGCGGUCGGUUCGCCGAAUAGUUUACGCUUGUUGUGACAGUCAACUUUCGGCUUUCUCCAACUGAGGUACUUGACCGGUUAAACCUGAAGUUACAAUCAUAGCGGUGCUCCCUUUACCUCCUAGUCAAACAAAGCGGAACGUAAGAGGUAAGCACAGGAGCCGAGCAACCCAGCUAUUAACCAAAGACACAACUCAAAACUGAUGCAUAUAAUGCGAAAUACCGAGGAUGUGGGGCCGAGGUCUUCUCUAUAGUACCUCGGAUGUUACAGGGUGUCGGCUUGAUUCUACAGCCCCCCAUAAGGUUCGAUGGCGCCUUAAAGGCAUCCAUCACCUGCAUCGUUUACAGUUGUGUUUCAAGAGAAGGAUAAAAGGAUGUGACAUCGGGCCCUCUCUUAUAAAAAGGAUCGAACCAAUCUGAACUAUAACAUAAAGGAUACAAGAUAUCUAUAUGAAAGAUAGGCGAGAAGGGCAGCGCGGCUAGUUAUCGGAUGGUGGGCUUGACGUCCUUUAUUGUCCUGCUGGCGUGCAUCCUCCAUCAUGUUAAACAGCAGUUCCUCAUCGAGUCCGAGGAAAGACAUCUCACUUGUGAAGGGACCCGUCGUUUCUUGAAUUCAUUUGAAAUGGUGAUGUAGCUGAGGUUUAUUGAAUUCGGAUCAAAUGCCAUUCGUAGUCACCCCCGGCCGAGUCUUCCCUAUGAUUAAGAGCAGGGCGUGAAUUUACCGCCGGGGGUGCAGGAAAACAUGUCAGAUUACCUGACCCGUUACCCAGGAUGCUGUGAUCCACCACCUCCCAUGGGAUUUUCAACAUAAAGUUGUGUAUCUGAGGGACACAAACCUCGGUCAUGGAAAUGGGCCAGUGGAGCGCACGGCCUUAUUUGGGGUCACCCUUUUUGUGCGCCGAGGUGAAGUGUAGGUGAAGUUUACACUUCUUGAACACUUCAUGUGGCUCUGGCCGCUUGACACUGCUCGCGCUCUUGAUGCUUCCUCAGUCGCGAAGGCCACUGUAUGUUCCGCGAUUCGGACGGAGCGUUCCGUAUUUCCAUUGACUGUAAUGACGGCGUUCAGCCCUGGCAUCUUAAGCUUUCGAUAAGCAUAGUGAGGGACAGCAUGGAAUCGAGCGAAGGCGGUCUGUCUGAGGAGUGCGUGAUAACCACUUCCAAAGGGUACGUUGUCGAAGAUUAAUUCUUCGCUGCGGAAAUUAUCGGGUGUGCCAAAUACAACAUCCAAAGUGACACUACCCGAGCAUUGUGUCUCAAUUCCCGGUAUGAUACCUUUAAAGUUCGUACUACUGGGCUUGAUUCUGGCCGGAUCUGUAUGCAUAUUCUUAAUGGUAUCAGCGUAUAUCAAGUUGAGACUGCUACGCCCAUCCAUAAGGACUCGGGUCAUAUGAAAGCCGUCCACUAUGGGGUCGAGUACCAGAGCUGCAGUGCCUCCAUGACGGAUACUUGUCGAAUUGUGUCUUUGGUCAAAGGUGAUCGGAAUUUCCGACCAUGGGUUGUAAGUUGGCGCUCCUGGCUCUACGGCAUAGACAUCGUGAAGCGCGUGUUUUCUCUCCUUCCUGGUGACGUGAGUAGCGUAAAUCAUGUUCACGUCCUUGACUUCGGGAGGGAAUUCAUGUUCACGUCCUUGACUUCGGAAGGGAAUUGCUUCUCGCCACCAUUACCUGGCCCAGGCUGGUUACCAUCCCCGUUAUGAGGCUGGUUCAUGCCCUGAUUCUUGGUCGCUAUCUUGAUGGCUUGCUUGAUUACCCAGCAGUCCCGGUUCGAAUGAGUGGCAGGCUUGUCUAGGGUGCCGUUUACGGCACAUGCUUUAUCCAAUAUUUUGCCCAACAUCGAUACGUUAUCUUUAUUCCCUUGAAAGAGUUUCCACUUGUUCCCACCACGUUGGUUGCUGAAUCCGGCAUUUACUACUCCCUCCUCGGUGUCGCUACUAUGUCCUCUAUUGUGGCGUGAUACGUCUCCAACGUAUCUAUAAUUUUUUAUUGUUCCAUGUUGUUAUAUUAUCAAUCUUGGAUGUUUUAUAUACAUUUACUAGCAACUUUAUAUCAUUUUUGGGACUAACCUAUUAACCUAGUGCUAGUUGUUGUUUUUUGCUUGUUUUUUACUUUGUAGAAUAUCAAUACAAACGAAGUCCAGAUGCUACGAAACUUUUUGGAGAUUUUUUUCUGGUGAUAAGAGACCCUGGAAGCUUCCGGAGGAAGCCAGAGGUGGAAGGGGGCCCACUAGGCACCAGGGUGCGCCAGAGGCCCAAGGCGCGCCCUUAUGGGUAGUGGGGCCCACGGGCACCGACUUGACCUACCUCCGGCUCUAUAGAUACUCUAAAAUCCCAAAAAACCUAAGGGAGUCGACGAAUUACAAGGCUAUAAGAGAUCGUGUGGUGGGCCCGCUCCGAGAUUGAAUCUAGUGCGUGGGCGAUGAUAUCUGCGGGAAUCUCGGGCCGAUCUAAUGUUACUUCUUGAGUUUGCGUUGGUUUUUCCCUUGAAGAGGAAAGGGUGAUGCAGCAAAGUAGAGAUAAGUAUUUCCCUCAGUUAAGAACCAAGGUAUCAAUCUAGUAGGAGGAACACACAGGUCUCCAAUAGUUAUACCUGCACAAACAAACAAAUACUUGCAUCCAAUGUGAUAAAGAGGCUGUCAAUCCCUUCACGGUUACUUGCAAGGAUGAGAUCUGAUAGUGAUGGAUAUAAAAGAUAAAUAAAAUUGCAAAAUAAAAUGAAAGUAAAUAAAUUACAACAAGGUAUUUUUGUGUUUUUGAUUUUGUAGAUCUGAAAAUAAUAUGAAAAAGAUAGACCCUGGGGCCACAGUUUUCACUAGAGGCUUCUCUCUUGAAAGAAAGCAUACGAUGGGUAAACAAAUUACUGUUGAGCAAUUGAUAGAAAAGCGCAUAGUUAUGACGAUAUCCAAGGCAAUGAUCAUGUAUAUAGGCAUCACGUCCGAGACAAGUAGACUGACUCCUGCCUGCAUCUACUACUAUUACUCCACACAUCAACUGCUAUCCAGCAUGCAUCUAGUGUAUUAAAUUAAUAAGAAUGGAGUAACACAUUAAGAAAGAUGACAUGAUGUAGAGGGAUAGAUCCAAUCAGUAUGAACAAACCCCAUCUUUUUAUCCUUAAUGGCAACAAUACAAAUAUGUGUCAUGUCCCCUUCUAUCACGGAUAUUGAGCACCGCAAGAUUAAACCCAUUACAAAGCACCUCUCCCAUUGUAAGAAGAAUCAAUCUAGUUGGUCAAACCAAAUCAGUAGAUCGGAGAGAACUACAAAGCUAUAUAAUCAUGCAUAAAAGAGUUCAGAGAAGACUCAAAUAAUAUCCAUAGAUAAUCUGAUCAUAAACCCACAAUUCAUAGGAUCUCAACAAACACACCGCAAAACAAGAUUACAUCGAAUAGAUCUCCAAGAACAUCGAGGAGAACAUUGUAUUGAAGAUCAAAGAGAGAGAGAAGAAGCCAUCUAGCUACUAGCUAUGGACCCGUAGGUCUGUGGUAAACUACUCACACAUCAUCGUAAAGGCAGCAAGGUUGAAGUAGAAGCCCUCCGUGAUCGAAACCCCCUCCGGCGGAGUACCAAAAAGGUCCCCGGAUGGGAUCUCAUGAAGACGGAAUUGCGGCGGCGGAAAAGUAUUUUUGGUGUGCCCUCUGGUCUACGGGGAAUAUUUGGGUAUUUAUAGAAGAAGAAUUUGAAGGAAAUAUGCCCUAGAGGCAAUAAUAAAGUUGUUAUUUUAUUUUUCCUUAUUCAUGAUAAAGGUUUAUUAUUCAUGCUAGAAUUUUAUUGAUCGGAAACUUAAAUACAUGUGUGAAUACAUAAACAAAUACCGUGUCCCUAGUAAGCCUCUACUAGACUAGCCCGUUGAUCAAAGAUGGUUAAGGUUUCCUAACCAUGGACAUGUGUUGUCAUUUGAUAACGGGAUCACAUCAUUAGGGGAAUGAUGUGAUGGACAAGACCCACCCGUUAGCUUAGCAUAAUGAUCGUUCAGUUUAUUGCUAUUACUUUCUUCAUGUCAAAUACUUAUUCCUUCGACUAUCAGAUUAUGCAACUCCCGGAUACCGGAGGAAUACCUUGUGUGUUAUCAAACGUCACAACGUAAAUGGGUGAUCAUAAAGAUGCUCUAUAGGUAUCUCUGAAGGUGUUUGUUGAGUUGGGAUAGAUCGAGAUUAGGAUUUGUCACUCCGAGUAUCGGAGAGGUAUCUCUGGGCCCUCUCGGUAAUACACAUCAUAAGCUUGCAAGCAUAUGACUAAGGAGUUAGCGCGAGGUGAUGUAUUACGGAACGAGUAAAGAGACUUGCCGGUAACGAGAUUGAACUAGGUAUGAAGAUACCGACGAUCGCAUCUCGGGCAAGUAACAUACCGAUAAACAAAGGGAGUUACGUAUGUUAUCAUAACGGUUCGACCGAUAAAGAUCUUCGUAGAAUAUGUAGGAGCCAAUAUGGGCAUCCAGGUUCCGCUAUUGGUUAUUGACCGGAGAGGUGUCUCGGUCAUGUCUACAUAUUUCUUGAACCCGUAGGGUCCACACGCUUAACGUUCGUUGACGAUAUAGUAUUAUAUGAGUUAUGUGAUUUGGUCGCCGAAUGUUGUUCAGAGUCCCGGAUGAGAUCACAGACAUGACGAGGAGUCUCGAAAUGGUCGAGAGGUAAAGAUCGAUAUAUAGGACGAUGGUAUUCGGACACCGGAAGUGUUCCGGAGGGUACCGGGUACUUAUCGUCACCGAAAAGGAGUUUCGGGCACCCCCGGCAAAGAUAUGGGCCUUAUGGGCCAAGAGAGGGAACACACCAGCCCACAAGGGGCUGGUGCACCCCUAUACAGGCCGGCCCUAUGAGGAGGAGAAGGAAAGAGGGGAGGGCAAGGAAAGUGUGGAGUAGGACUCCCCCUUCCUUCCCUCCCCCCCCCCUCUUUCCUUCCCCCUUGUUUAUACAAGGAAAGGGGGCGCAGGGCAAGGCAGGAGCCCUAGGGCGUGCCUGGCUGCCUCCCCUCCCCUCCCACCUAUAUAUAUGUGGGGAGGGGGCGCCACACAAGGACACACAAUAUUGUCUUAGCCGUGUGCGGCGCCACACAAGGACACACAAUAUUGUCUUAGCCAUGUGCGGCGCCCCCGUCCACCGUUUACUCCCUCGGUCAUAUUUCCGUAGUGCUUAGACGAAGCCCUGCGGAGAUCACAUCACCAUCACCGUCACCAUGCCGUCAUGCUGACGGAACUCAUCUACUACCUCAACGUCUUGCUAGAUCAAGAAGGUGAGGGACGUCACCGAGCUGAACGUGUGCAGAACGCGGAGGUGCCGUGCGUUCGGUACUUGAUCGGUUGAAGCGCGAAGAAGUUCGACUACAUCAACUGUGUUGUGAAACGCUUCUGCUUACGGUCUACGAGGGUACAUAGACACACUCUCCCCCUCGUUUCUAUGCAUCUCCAUGGAUAGAUCAUUGCAUGUGCGUAGAAAUUUUUUUGUUUUCCAUGCAACGAUUCCCAACAGAAUUAGGGUUGGAAGUGCCACGAGGGGCCCACAAGCUUGCCCCCCCCCCCCGGGCGCGCCCCCUGAGCUUGUCGCCGCCUCGUGGCCCUUCUGGCCUCCUCCCGAAGCUUCCAGGGUGUCUUGUGGUCCAAGAAAAAUCAUCAAAAAGUUUCGUUCCAUUUGGACUCCGUUUGAUAUUGAUUUUCUAUGAAGACAAAAAACAAGGGGGGAAAUAGCAACUAGCACUAGGCACUAGGUUAACAAGUUAGUCCCAAAAAAUGAUAUAAAAUAGCAUAAUAAUGCAUAUAAAACAUUUAAGAUUGAUAAUAUAAUAGCAUGAAACAAUAAAAAUUUAUAGAUACAUUAGAGACGUAUCAUCUAACACCCAACCUGAGAAAGCAAGCUCCCCGCGUGAAUCUGCGGUGUAUUCCAGAUUGCCAAACCGGAUGGCUUGUCCUGGAGAGACAUUCUCUACUUGGCUGAGAUGGCCAGUCGAGUCGGCGUGCAACACGAUGCUGCCGAAGGCAAAAAGCGGGCCGGGGGAAAAGAUAUCCCUGCAGCCAACGCUGUCGUUGAUCCAAAGAUUCGCCAUCGAGCUCUUACGACCACACAGCGGGACCUGUAUGGGCCACCAAGGUGCUAAAACCGGCAGAUCUCUAGUAGGGGUUUUGAAGCUUGGUGAUCUGAGAUAGAUGAUAACAGGAGAAAGUAGGGACAUGAUGCUUACCCAGGUUCGGGCCCUCUUGAGAAGGCAAAACCCUACGUCAUGCUUCUGAUAUAUCGAUUGUGAUGGGGUACAGAGUACAGUAUGAUCUACCUCAAGAUCGUAUGAAGGAGUUCUAAGCUCCAAACCUUGCAAUCGUGCCUCAACAGACUAAACCUCACGGAUUAUAUAGACACUGAGGGUAUCUACGGUUUAGACAUCGUCAGUUACAAUAUAGGGAUAAGCAUGUCGAUCAUUCAAAUAUGCCUUGAAGUGUAUGCCUGAUACGUCUCCAACGUAUCUAUAAUUUUUUAUUGUUCCAUGCUAUUAUAUUAUCUGUUUUGGAUGUUUAAUGGGAUUUAUUAUGCACUUCUAUAUUAUUUUUGGGACUAACCUACUAACCGGUGGCCCAGUGCAAAUUGCUGGGGGGGGUUUUGCCUAUUUUAGUGUUUCGCAGAAAAGGAAUAUCAAACGGAGUCCAAACGGAAUGAAACCUUCGCGAGGAUCGUUUUUGGAACAAACGCAACCCAGGAGACUUGGAGUGGACGUCAAGGAAGCAACGAGGCGGCCACGAGGUAGGGAGGCGCGCCCAGGGGGUAGGCGCCCCUCCCCCACCCUCGUGGCUCCACCGACCUACUUCCUUCGCCUAUAUAUACUCUUAUACCCUGAAAACAUCCAGCAGCACCACGAAACCCUAUUUCCACCGCCGCAACCUUCUGUACCCGUGAUAUCCCAUCUUGGGGCCUUUUCCGGCGCUCCGCCGGAGGGGGAAUCGAUCACGGAGGGCUUCUACAUCAACACCAUAGCCUCUCCGAUGAUGUGUGAGUAGUUACCACAGACCUUCGGGUCCAUAGUUAUUAGCUAGAUGGCUUCUUCUCUCUCUUUGGAUCUCAAUACAAAGUUCUCCUCGAUUCUCUUGGAGAUCUAUUCGAUGUAAUACUUUUUGCGGUGUGUUUGUCGAGAUCCGAUGAAUUGUGGGUUUAUGAUCAAGAUUAUCUAUGAACAAUAUUUGAUUCUUCUCUGAAUUCUUAUAUGUAUGAUUUGAUAUCUUUGCAAGUCUCUUCGAAUUAUCAGUUUGGUUUGGCCUACUAGAUUGAUCUUUUCUUGCAAUGGGAGAAGUACUUAGCUUUGGGUUCAAUCUUGCGGUGUCCUUUCCUAGUAAUAGCAGGGGCAGCAAGGCACGUAUUGAAUUGUUGCCAUCGAGGAUAAAAAAGAUGGGGUUUAUAUCAUAUUGCUUGAGUUUAUCCCUCUACAUCAUGUCAUCUUGCCUAAUGCGUUACUCUGUUCUUAUGAACUUAAUACUCUAGAUGCAUGCUGGAUAGCGGUCGAUGUAGUAGAUGCAGAAUUGUUUCGGUCUACUUGUCGCGGACGUGAUGCCUAUAUACAUGAUCAUGCCUAGAUAUUCUCAUAACUAUGCACUUUUCUAUCAAUUGCUCGACAGUAAUUCGUUCACCCACCGUAGAAUUUGCUAUCUUGAGAGAAGCCACUAGUGAAACCUAUGGCCCCGGGGUCUAUCUUCCAUCAUAUAAGUUUCCGAUCUGUUUUAUUUUGCGAUCUUUACUUUUCAACCUAUACCAUAAAAAUACCAAAAAUAUUUAUCUUAUUAUCUCUAUCAGAUCUCACUUUUGCAAGUGGCGGUGAAGGGAUUGACAACCCCUUUAUCGCGUUGGUUGCAAGGUUCUUAUUUGUUUGUGCAGGUACGAGGGAUUUUCAUGUAAUCUCCUACUGGAUUGAUACCUUGGUUCUCAAAAACUGGGGGAAAUACUUACGCUACUUUGCUGCAUCACCCUUUCCUCUUCAAGGGAAAACCAACGCAUGCUCAAGAGGUAGCAAGAAGGAUUUCUGGCGCCGUUGCCGGGGAGAUUUGCACCAAGUCAAGUCAAUAUUUGAUCUCCCGUCAACUAGCCAUUUCUGGUGUCGUUGCCGGGGAGAUCUACGCACAAGUCAAGACAUACCAGGUACCCAUCACAAACUCUUAUCCCUCGCAUUACAUUAUUUUCCAUUUGCCUCUCGUUUUCCUCUUCCCCACUUCACCUUUGCCUUUUCUUCGCCCUCCUUCCGUCCGAUCUUGUGUUACCAUGUGCCUUCUUUUUGCUUGCAUCUUUGCUUGCUAAAAGUUUAUGGAUCCUCAUCCCCUUGCUAAUCUUUUUAAGAGAUCCAAUUAUGAUGAACCAAUUUCUAGUGAUUUGAGUGCACUAGAUUAUCUUUAUGAGGUUUUGCUUGAAAUUCGUGAAUCUAAAAAUUCUGAUGAAGAAAUUUAUGAAGAGAUUCACGAUAGCUCCUUGAAUAAAAAGCAUGAUUGCAAUGAUUUUACUAUAAAUUCUCUUGAUGUCAAUUGUGCUAAUAAUAUGCAAAACCCUGAGCUUGGGGAUGCUAGUUUUGCUAUGUCUACUACUUGUUGCAACGAUCAUGAUUGGGGUGAUUCUUCUUAUGAUCUUGAAAAUUUAUUUAAGCCCCAUGAUGAAUAUGAGAUUGAUAAUAAUGUUUGCAAUAAUACUGAAAGUGGGUUUGGAAGAGUGUCAACUUUAGAUCCCACAUAUUUGGAGAAUGCUCAAUCUUGAAGUUUUUGAUAAAAAUGGGUUUGGAGAGGUCAUGACUUUAGUUAAUGUUAAUCCCACUAUUUUGGAAGAGUGUGAACUUUGCAUACAUGUGGAUCGUGUUAAGAAUAUGUUUUCUGAUAACUAUAUUGUUGAGUUUUCUUAUGAUCCUACAUGUAAUUAUUAUGAGAGAGGAAAAUAUGGUUGUAGAAAUUUUCAUGUUACUAAAUUACCUCUCGUUAUGUUGAGAUUGCUAUUGUUUCUUUCCGCUUCCUUGCAUAUGCUAGUUUUUGCUUGCCUUGAUAAUUUGUUUGCCUAUAAGAUGCCUAUGCAUAGGAAGUAUGUUAGACUUAGAUGUGUUUGUCACAUGUUUCAUGAUUCUCUCUUCGUGUUUCAAUUAUUAUCUUUCGUGUGAGCAUCGUUGAAAUCUUAUGCCUAGCUAGGGGCGUUAAACGAUAGCGCUUGUUGGGAGGCAACCCAAUUUUAUUUUUGUUCCUUGCUUUUUGUUCCUGUUUAGUAAUAAAUAUUUCAUCUAGCUUCUGGUUAUAUGUGGUUUUAUGUUUUAAUUAGUGUUUGUGCCAAGUAAAACCUAUAGGAUCUUCUUGGGUGAUAAUUAUUUGAUCUUGCUGAAAAAGUCAGAAACUUUCUGCCCACAAAAACAAUUGUUAAAAAUCACCAGAAAGUGAUAAAAUACUGAUUCCAAUUGCAGUAUAUCAAUAAUAAAAUUAUCUAGGUCUUCCUAUUUUGGUAUAUUUUUCUGAGUUACAGAAGUUUGCGUUUGAUACAUAUUACUACAGACUGUUCUGUUUUUGACAGAUUCUGUUUUUCGUGUGUUGUUUGCUUAUUUUGAUGAAUCUAUGGCUAGUAUCGGGGGGGUAUGAACCAUAGAGAAGUUGGAAUACAGUAGGUUUAACACCAAUAUAAAUAAAUAAUGAGUUCAUUACAGUACCUUAAAGUGGUGGUUUGUUUUAUUUCGCUAACGGAGCUCAUGAGAUUUUCUGUUGAGUUUUGUGUUGUGAAGUUUUCAAGUUUUUGGGUAAAGAUUUGAUGGAUUAUGGAACAAGGAGUGGCAAGAGCCUAAGCUUGGGGAUUCCCAAGGCACCCCAAGGUAAAAUUCAAGGACAACCAAAAGCCUAAGCUUGGGGAUGCCCCGGAAGGCAUCCCCUCUUGCGUCUUCGUCUAUCGGUAACUUUACUUGAUGCUAUAUUUUUAUUCACCACAUGAUAUGUGUUUUGCUUGGAGCAUCUUGUAUGAUUUGAGUCUUUGCUUUUUAGUUUACCACAAUCAUCCUUGCUGUACACACCUUUUGGAGAGACACACAUGAAUCGGAAUUUAUUAGAAUACUCUAUGUGCUUCACUUAUAUCUUUUGAGCUAGAUAAUUUUGCUCUAGUGCUUCGCUUAUAUCUUUUUAGAGCACGGUGGUGGUUUAUUUUAUAGAAAUUAUUGAUAUCUCAUGCUUCACUUAUAUUAUUUUGAGAGUCUUUUAGAACAGCAUGGUAAUUUUUUGGUUAAAAUUUUAGUCCUAAAGUGAUGAGCAUCCAAGAUAGGUAUAAUAAAAACUAUCAUAUAAAGUGCAUUGUAUACGAUGAGAAGUUUGAUUCUUUAUGAUUGUUUUGAGAUAUGAAGAUGGUGAUAUUAGAGUCAUGGCAGUUGAGUAGUUGUGAAUUUGAGAAAUACUUGUGUUAAAGUUUAUGAUUCCCGUAGCAUGCACGUAUGGUGAACCGUUAUGUGAUGAAGUCGGAGCAUGAUUAUUUAUUGAUUGUCUUCCUUAUGAGUGGCGGUCGGGGAUGAGCGAUGGUCUUUUCCUACCAAUUUAUCCCCCUAGGAGCAUGCGUGUAGUACUUCGUUUCAAUAACUAAUAGAUUUUUGCAAUAAGUAUGUGAGUUCUUUAUGACUAAUGUUGAGUCCAUGGAUUAUACGCACUCUCACCCUCCCACCAUUGCUAGCCUCCUAAUAUCGUGCAACUUUCGCCGGUAUCAUACACCCACCAUAUACCUUCCUCAAAACAGCCACCAUACCUACCUAUUAUGGCAUUUCCAUAGCCAUUCCGAGAUAUAUUGCCAUGCAACUUUCCACCGUUCCGUUUAUUAUGACACGCUCCAUCAUUGUCAUAUUGCUUUGCAUGAUCAUGUAGUUGACAUCGUAUUUGUGGCAAAGCCACCGUUCAUGAUUUUCGUACAUGUCACUCUUGAUUCAUUGCAUAUCCCGGUACACCGCCGGAGGCAUUCACAUAGAGUCAUAUUUUGUUCUAAGUAUUGAGUUGUAAUUUUUGAGUUGUAAGUAAAUAAAAGUGUGAUGAUCAUCAUUAUUAGAGCAUUGUCCCAAGUGAGGAAAGGAUGAUGGAGACUAUGAUUCCCCACAAGUCGGGAUGAGACUCUGGACUAAAAUUAAAAAAAAAGGAAAGAAAAGAGGCCAUAAAAAAAGAGAGAAAGGCCCAAACAAAAAAAGGAGAAAAAGAGAGAAGGGACAAUGUUACUAUCCUUUUACCACACUUGUGCUUCAAAGUAGCACCAUGAUCUUCAUGAUAGAGAGUCUCCUAUGUUGUCACUUUCAUAUACUAGUGGGAAUUUUACAUUAUAGAACUUGGCUUGUAUAUACCAAUGAUGGGCUUCUUCAAAAUGCCCUAGGUCUUCGUGAGCAAGCGAGUUGGAUGCACACCCACUUAGUUUCUUUUGUUGAGCUUUCAUACACUUAUAGAUCUAGUGCAUCCGUUGUAUGGCAAUCUCUACUCACUCACAUUGAUAUCUAUUGAUGGGCAUCUCCAUAGCCCAUUGAUAUGCCUAGUUGAUGUGAGACUAUCUUCUCCUUUUUUUUGUCUUCUCCACAACCACCAUUCUAUUCCACAUAUGGUGCUAUGUCCAUGGCUCACGCUCAUGUAUUGCGUGAAGAUUGAAAAAGUUUGAGAACAUCAAAAGUAUGAAACAAUUGCUUGGCUUGUCAUCGGGGUUGUGCAUGAUUUAAAUAUUUUGUGUGAUGAAGAUAGAGCAUAGCCAGACUAUAUGAUUUUGUAGGAAUAACUUUCUUUGGCCAUGUUAUUUUGAGAAGACAUGGUUGCUUUAUUAGUAUGCUUGAAGUAUUAUUAUUUUUAUGUCAAUAUUAAACUUUUGUCUUGAAUCUUUCGGAUCUGAAAUUCAUGCCACAGUAAAGAAAAUUACAUUGAGAUUAUGCUAGGUAGCAUUCCACAUCAAAAAUUCUGUUUUUAUCAUUUACCUACUCGAGGACGAGCAGGAAUUAAGCUCGGGAUGCCUGAUACGUCUCCAACGUAUCUAUAAUUUUUGAUUGUUCCAUGCUAUUAUAUUAUCUGUUUUGGAUGUUUAAUGGGCUUUAUUAUGCACUUUUAUAUUAUUUUUGGGACUAACCUACUAACCGGAGGCCCAGUGCAAAUUGCUGUUUUUUUGCCUAUUUCAGUGUUUCGCAGAAAAGGAAUAUCAAACGGAGUCCAAACGGAAUGAAACCUUCGCGAGGAUCGUUUUUGGAACAAACGCAAUCCAGGAGACUUGGCGUGGACGUCAAGGAAGCAACGAGACGGCCACGAGGUAGGGAGGCGCGCCCAGGGGGGUAAGCGCGCCCCCCACCCUUGUGGGCCCCUCGUGGCUCCACCGACCUACUUCCUUCGCCUAUAUAUACUCUUAUACCCUAAAAACAUCCAGGAGCACCACGAACCCUAUUUCCACCGCCGCAACCUUCUAUACCCGUGAUAUCCCAUCUUGGGGCCUUUUCCGGCGCUCCGCCGGAGGGGGAAUCGAUCACGGAGGGCUUCUACAUCAACACCAUAGCCUCUCCGAUGAUGUGUGAGUAGUUUACCACAGACCUUCGGGUCCAUAGUUAUUAGCUAGAUGGCUUCUUCUCUCUCUUUGGAUCUCAAUACAAAGUUCUCCUCGAUUCUCUUGGAGAUCUAUUCGAUGUAAUACUUUUUGCGGUGUGUUUGUCGAGAUCUGAUGAAUUGCGGGUUUAUGAUCAAGAUUAUCUAUGAACAAUAUUUGAUUCUUCUCUGAAUUCUUAUAUGUAUGAUUUGAUAUCUUUGCAAGUCUCUUCGAAUUAUCAGUUUGGUUUGGCCUACUAGAUUGAUCUUUCUUGCAAUGGGAGAAGUGCUUAGCUUUGGGUUCAAUCUUGUGGUGUCCUUUCCCAGUGACAGCGGGGGCAGCAAGACACGUAUUAAAUUGUUGCCAUCGAGGAUAAAAAGAUGGGGUUUAUAUCAUAUUGCUUGAGUUUAUCCCUCUACAUCAUGUCAUCCUGCCUAAUGCGUUACUCUGUUCUUAUGAACUUAAUACUCUAGAUGCAUGCUGGAUAGCGGUCGAUGUGUGGAGUAAUAGUAGUAGAUGCAGAAUCGUUUCGGUCUACUUGUCGCGAACGUGAUGCCUAUAUACAUGAUCAUGCCUUGAUAUUCUCAUAACUAUGCACUUUUCUAUCAAUUGCUCGACAGUAAUUCGUUCACCCACCGUAGAAUUUGCUAUCUUGAGAGAAGCCACUAGUGAAACCUAUGGCCCCCGGGUCUAUCUUCCAUCAUAUAAGUUUUCGAUCUGUUUUAUUUUGCAAUCUUUACUUUUCAAUCUAUACCAUAAAAAUACCAAAAAUAUUUAUCUUAUUAUCUCUAUCAGAUCUCACUUUUGCAAGUGGCUGUGAAGGGAUUGACAACCCCUUUAUCGCGUUGGUUGCAAGGUUCUUAUUUGUUUGUGCAAGUACGAGGGAUUUGCGUGUAAUCUCCUACUGAAUUGAUACCUUGGUUCUCAAAAACUAGGGGAAAUACUUACGCUAUUUUGCUGCAUCACCCUUUCCUCUUCAAGAGAAAACCAGCGCAUGCUCAAGAGGUAGCAAUGCCAAGCCUUCGGAGAUCUUCAUCUUGAUUACACAGAGGGCCAGGGCCUGCAUGGCCCAUUCAUCAGUCUUUGUUGGGUCCUCGACCCGGCCCAUAACCGGCGGGCCGUCGUGGUAAGCAUCCCCUAGUCCAGGACUCCAACAGGGUGGUUCUAAAGUUUAGUCUCAUACCGCUAGUGGAGGAGGUAUGAGACAUGUUUACAUAGUGGGUUCUCCCCACCACACUAUGCGGUGAGUAUGACGAGAGAAAGAGAACACCACAAGCGUGCGCGUUCGCCUCACCUGGCCUGGUCUGGACAGGGAGGGGUGUGGUUGUGCGACAUGCGUGUGAAUGGUUCACAAGUUGACUUGUCUGGUAAGUUACGACUUGAAAACCAAGUCGGUUUGAGAUCGUGAUCACGACACGCUACCACCUUGGUCCUCCUAUAAAUAUGACUUACCAGCUACGACUAAAGAUACACCGAAACAAGCUAGGGUUUUGCCUUAUCUCACAACUUGCGACAUCAUCGUAGUCUACUCCAUUCCAAACGUGUGUGUGUGCACCAGCGAGCGGGAGAGCAGGUCACUAGAACCCUUCGUUCUUGUGAUCCUGCAUAGGGAGAGGACGAAUUAGAUUUUUGGUAAGCAUUUCGUGCGACUGCUCAACUUCGUCACCACGGGUGUCUUCCAUCCAAGUCGGGUCGCAUCGCGUACCGACAUCUCCAACGUCAUUUGCUUCGACCUGUCUUCAUGAAUGCAUCAUCAACAACAUCACUCCUGCAGCAGCUACGGCUACCGAUAAAUAGUACGUGCGUCGUGAUCUAUUCAUGUCUCUAAUUAUGGUUGCCAUUAUUUGUGCAAUGUUGUGGUACAUGUUUCCAUGUUCAUCUAGUAUGCUAGAUUGUUGCAUGCUAAUAAUAAUUUUAAUCAUGAUUUAUAUUCUCUAAAGUUUAGUCUCAUACCACUAGUGGAGGAGGUGUGGUGUACAUGAUCUUAACCUUGCUCUGCCUUAAAUGAGUCAAAUUUCCUUCAUCAGUUGCGUUUGUAGCACGGUCGAUUGAAAGGUGAGGACAACUUAUGGCUAAAAGGAAAAGCUGAUACGUUAGCACGCAUCAAAGCGAGACUAUGACAGCAAAGCUCUUGAUCUGUAUGCCCUUCUUAUUCAAGGUACUUAAAGGUUAAAAAAACUAAAGAUAUUUUUAUGCACGGUUCUCUCUCUCUUCUUCUUCUUUUUUUCUUUGCUUUUUGUCUUCAGUACAUUGGCGUGUACACUCAUGAGUCAUGAAUACGGAAUUAAUAGUAUAUACAGCGAUUUGGCUCCCGAGAACAGUAUCGUGAUUCAAAAUAGAAAAUAAGUUCAAAAAAUCCAUUUUUUUUGUGGUGCAAGAUGCUUCUGUGCGUGAACUCUGUGCAAAAUUUUGUAAAGUUUGGACAUUCGAGGAGCUCGUGGCAAAAAAGAUAAAUUUCGGAUGUCUGAGAAACUUUUGAAAAUCGCAGUGUUCAUGCCUGAUUUUGUCUUUUUUUUCACGAGCUCCUUGAAUGUCCAACCUUCAUAAAAUUUUGUAUGGAGUUCACGCAUAGGAGCAUCUUGCACCAAAAAAAUUGGAAAUUUUUGAACUUUUUUUCUAUUUUAAACUGUGGUAUGUUCACCGGGCUCAUCUGAACCGCGGGCACCGAAAGGGAUUUUCCUAGUACUACUGUGAGCAUGGUUCCAUACAAUCCCGCUUUUAAAACUUAGCAAGAAAAUCACAUCGGUCAAGCUUUUCUAAAAAAAUAGACAAACAGUUUAUGCAUGUAGAAAAUGGACACAAAGCAUGACCAUAUAUUUUUAUUGUGUUCAAUGCGAUCAUUUGUGAGUUGUGCAAAAUAAAAAUAAAAAUACUUUGCUAAUUUCCAUCCAUUGCGUUAGUUGCUUUAGCAUCUCCAAGAAAGGUCCUCGAAGGGUCAUUUGAGGGCACCCCCUACUUUCUCAGCCCUAAAAACUCUAACAAUACCCUUCAUUUCUCAGCUUUGUAGAAAAAAUCUUCUUGUUGCACAUUUGCUCUAUGUGACACCAAAUUUGACACCACAAUAAUUUGAAAUAUAAUAUGUCUACGCAUAAAACUCAACAAUGUUCAAAUUCAUAAUUUUAAGCGCCACAAUUCAAAAUAUUGAACACAAAAAAAUCAAAUAAUACUAGGAAAUGUUCAUUGAACUACAUGGUUCAUCCAACGUAGUCGGUGUUUUAAACAAAAAUAUAGUAAAUAAACUACUUGGACCCAUAUCAUUCUCGCGAGUGCUGAAAAAAGAUCAUCUUUGAGUUGAUCGCUUGUGUCGGCCAUGGUCUGAGCCAAGGCUCAUGUUUGAUAUAUAUUACCUACCGUUGUUUAUCAUUUUCAUGGUUAAUUAAAAUUGGAGAGGGGCUCCUUCGUCGGAAAAAAAAGGUCAUUUCAAAGUUGAUCGUGCGCUUAUAGGGCUUUCCAUCCUUCUCUAGACAUCAAGGAAUUCACUAGCAGUAAUGUGAUGCAGAUCCUCCAAAGCCACAUAGACUCCCAUAUCAUUUCACUCGAAGUCUUCAUGUUGACCCACACUCGCUCUCAAUGAUAACACAAACAACAGUGCGGGCAGGGAGGCGAUGUCGUAGCGACUUGCACCUUGUAAGGUUGGGGCAUGGUGCGGGAAAACAUGGAGAGGCGGAACGGCGAGAGGGUGGCAGCCUCGAUGGUGCUGGUGGAGGGAGACGAUCGGCACCGCCCGGAUUGAUAGGCGGGGUGGCGAAAUCGGGCAGAGGAGAGGGGUGGGAUCCUGGAGGGAGGAGUUUAGGAGGAUGGAGCAGGGCGGCCUUGAACUGAGGGCUUGGAGGGUUAUUAUUUUUGGAUCCUCUGUUAUGAAUGUUGUAGGGGUUGAUUUGCAAAAAAAAAUGUAGUAGGGGUUAUUGGAGUUGAUUUUUUGUCCUUAGCCCUCAAAAAGUGAUUUGAGGGGUGGAGUAGGGGCCUCUUGGAGAUAUGCUCUUAUCUUCUGCUUAACAUGGCAAAACUGAGAUAGAGCCAUUGACCGCCUAUGAAUCAAGGGUAUGAUUAGUAAUAUGGUAGGAAAUUCUAAGCUAAACAUUGUUCACGUGAUCCUGAUAUUGAAACUUAGCAAGAAAAAAAUCACAUGUUUUAACUUUCAAAAAUGUGCAUGGCAAGGGAUAUAUUCUCUUACCUUUUUGUAGGACAGCCGAUGCUCCAUGUGUAUUGUCUUCUUUUAUGCUGCACCGGCUAAUUGAUAGAGUGCUCUACACUGUGUACAUAUAGAUAUAGUGAUGCGGCGCAAAUGUAACAUGGGGUGAUAUAUGCACGAGCUACAAUUAAUUGAUCACUUAUGAAUGAAGACAUCUUAAUUAUCCUGGAAUUAAAAGGAAUGGCCAUAAGUGAUAAGCAUAUUCAAAUUUAAAUGCUAAUAUGAAUGUCUCGGUUAUGCAAAUGUGCUCCUUAUAUUGACCUUUUUAAGCUACAGGAGACAGUGGCAGAGCUACUCUGCACGGUGAUUACCUUGUUUGAUAUUUAUGAGUUGUUUCCCUUUUUUGGUUCUUUUCAUAUUUUAACAAACUAAUUUGUGUGCAUGGUAUGGUGUAGAGGGCGGGACAGUGUGUCUAGUUUCCAGUACCUAAAAGAUGACAUGCAUGUAGAAACCAUAAUGUGGCAGCGUAGAUGGUAGUAGGGGUACUGUUUAGAUAAACCAUCAUUCAUCACUGAACAAAAACGUGAUAUUCCUACACAAGAUCGCACACACAUAUAUAGCCAGAGUCCACAUGAUACAGCUGAUUCGGUGUUGCUUUGUACAUUCUCUCUUCCUUCCUCUUCCUUUUUGUAUGUAGAAGCUACCGGUGUACCCACAUUCUUGAUCCAACUCAGCUCACUACAACCAGUGUUGCUGCAUUUCGUCCAUGGAAAUUAAUAUGCCUCAAUAGCUAUGGAUGUCGUUAUUUGAACGCUAUAGUUGUGUUAUAUUAAGUUAUUAUAUGUACUAAGAGCAUCUGCAUCCCUAGGUGUUAAGCAGAGGCUAAAGGUGAGAGAAAUUGUUUAGCACUAGUGCUAAAGGAUGCAUGUGAGGGUAGAUGCUAAGAUCAAAAGCUUAGCACUAACGCUAAGCUUAGCAUCCAAUGCUAAGCUUAGCAAAGUAUGUUAAACUAAUAGCUUGUGUGCCAAUCUUUAAUUUGGAUGAUAAAUUUAAUAUAUUUAGUACCUUCAAGUGGUGCUAGAGGAUAUGGUAAAAAAAACACUUAUCAAGGUGAAUGAGAGAGAAAGUUGACACACUUAUCGAGGCUGGAAACUAUAAUUAUUUAUGGGGAUGCGGAUGAUCUAAGAAAUCGACCAAUGGCUCCACAAUGCACAUAUAUAUUUUAAAAAAUAAAAUGUGUGUAAGUGGCAUCUAAAAUAACGGGGGCAUGCUCAGCUUUUAACUCUCGGAUCAAGAGAAAGAUGGUGUGUAUACCGAGGCUAUAGGUGUUUAUAGGGUGUGGAUGCUCAAACAAUGUAGCAAUGGCUUCACAUUGUACAUGUAUAAACAUGUGCUCAGCUUUCUAACUGUUGGACCGAGAUUAUGUAAUAUAAUUAUAUAAACCAUUUAUUAAGGACUUGGUUUUUUGAAACCUCAAUAAAGACAUGACAUAUAGUGGACACUGUCUUAGUAGUUUUAUUUCAGCAAUGGAGUAAUCUAGUCACUCGCAAAAAAAUUGAUCCAUUCACUUGCCAGGAUGAGAGAGAGAGAGAGAGAGAGAGAGUGUUACACGUCUAGAGAGAGAAAUGAGGGGCGGUCGGCCGUGUAAGGAAAAGGAUGAAGCUUGCGAGGGAAUCUGCAAAAGAGGAGGUAGCUAGCUAAAGGUGGCCCCCAUCCGAUCGAUGAAAAUCUCGAGGGGAGGACGACUACUGUGCCUCCUACCCCAGCCGACGACGAUCGACCCAGAGGAAGAGAAAACCUACUUAUAAGGGCAGCUGGCCGCCCGGUAAAGGCAGCAGCAGCAGCCUCCUCCAACCAGCAGGAGCAGAGAAGAAGAAGCAAAGUGCGCGUCUUGCUCCUCCGCCGAAGCAGCUACCUACCAACCUAGCUGCUGCUGCUGCCGCCGUCGAUCGCCGGGGUAUGGCGCCGGUGGGUCUGCCGCCGGGUUUCCGGUUCCACCCGACGGACGAGGAGCUGGUGAACUACUACCUGAAGCGCAAGAUCCACGGGCUCCACAUCGAGCUCGACAUCAUCCCGGAGGUGGACCUCUACAAGUGCGAGCCCUGGGACCUCGCAGGUACAGUACGCACCACCGAUCUCAGUUCGCAUGUGAUCUCGAUCGCGUAUGUGUUGUGAACUGAUGCGAAUUACAACGUACGUCCUCAUGGCGUGCAGAGAAGUCGUUUUUGCCGAGCCGUGACCCGGAGUGGUACUUCUUCGGGCCGAGGGACCGCAAGUACCCCAACGGCUUCCGGACCAACCGGGCGACGCGGGCAGGGUACUGGAAGUCCACCGGCAAGGACCGGCGCGUCAUGACGCAGCAGCACCACGGCGGCGGAGGAGCCGGCGGGGGCGCGCGGGCAAUCGGGAUGAAGAAGACGCUGGUGUACUACCGCGGACGCGCGCCGCAGGGGGUGCGCACCGACUGGGUGAUGCACGAGUACCGCCUCGACGACAAGGACUCCGAGGACACCAUCGCCAUCCAGGUAUGUAUAAUCACCUUCAUUCUCUGAGUGACCUAUCCCGUCAUGCAAGGUGAUCAUGCAUGCAUGUCUAAUCUUCUCCUUCCAUGGAUGCAAUGGAAAGCUAUUUAGCUAGGGCUUUGAGAAAAAAUUGAUCCUUUUCUUUUGUGCUGGCCGGGCAAAGAAAAUUUUCUGCUUGCGUCUAAAAUGAAAGGAAGACGUAAAAUUUUCUGAGAGGAUUACAACAUGGCUUUUCUCCCGUCUGUAAAACGGUGUGGUAGUAGUAUGGGUCACUUUGCUUUGCUCCAGCUACUACUCUGAUGAGAGAGACAAACAUGUAGGCCUCGCCUUGCUGUCCAAAAAAUUUAACUAACAAAAGUAAAAGCCGGGGCCUUAGCAUUAGUAGUAUUUGUUCGUUCUCCAGCUACGUUCUUUGUUCUAAGAUAAGAGUAGUACGUACUCUGCGUGUUAACCAUGCAUGCUACGCUACGUUCUCUCUUUUUUUGGGGUGAGAUUAGAGCAGUCUGCACUGAUCAUGAGACGCUAAAGGGCCUUAACCAAAGCUAGAGAGCAAAGCAAAGCAAGCCCUCAUGCAUCUUGGCGCGAGAUAGCAGCUCGUGUCGAGUCAUGGCCAUAUGCAUGUCGGCGUCCUCCCGCGCUUUCCGCUUUAUUCCGUGCUGAAUCCCAUCAUCAUCCUCACACCCUUCUGAUUUUUCCAUGGCCGGCUAGUCUUCUUAUUUCUUCUCCCGCUUUGCUUUGAUAAUCGAUCGGCCUCUUUUUCUGAUUAACAAUCAACAAGAAUGUAUACAACACUAUGAUGGCACUCUGAUGGAUCAAAUUGCCCAAAACCCAAGGCCUGUUGACUACUAAUUGGCAGAAGUAACUGCACAUGAGAUAAUCAUGCAUCAGUGUGUGCAUAAACUUUCAAGAAAGUCUCGAGAAACCACAAUAGCAGAUGGAUCUUGUUUUUGCUUUUUCCUGUCAUGAGUUAAUAUACCAUGCAUGGUGGAUGGAUCAGGACACCUACGCGCUGUGCCGGGUCUUCAAGAAGAACGCCAUCUGCGCCGAGGUGGAGGAGCUGCAGGAGGGGCAGUGCAGCAUGGCACUGCUCGAGGGCGCCUGCCAGCAGCUGCUCGCCAGCAGCCGCACUGCCGGACAGGAGUACUACCAGACCCCGUCGCCCGACGUGCCCGCAGGGUCCACCUCCUGCGGUGCUGACGCCGACGCAGACGACGACGCUGACAAGGACGACUCCUGGAUGCAGUUCAUCUCCGAGGACGCCUGGUGCUCCAGCACCGCCGCCGAGGAGAGCACCUCCUGCGCCGGCUGAUCAUGCAUGCGGCCGGAGAGCUUCUUCUGUCGGUGGAAAUAAUCCUCCUGAUAUAUAUACCUAUAUAUUUUUCCUUUUUCUUUUUGUGAUCGGUGCUGCUGGCAAUUUAUCAAUAAUCACCGAGUGUUGAAGGUGAAAGAUCAAGCAGUAAUAAGGUAUAUAUAAUCCUUUUGGGUUCCAUCUUCCAGCGUAUUGCUGGGAGUUUGGGUAACCGAUCGAUCGAUGCUGGCCUCAAGGUGAAGGCUGUAAUCCUUCCUGGAGUUGAGCUCAUAAGGAGGAUUUAUAUUUAUAUGAUGAUGAUAGGAACAAUCAGACUACAUUUGUGUUUUUCUUCUUCUGUUCAUGCUUUCCUUGGUGUUCAUAUGUAUUAUUAAGCUUCUCGAUUGGAGGCUUUUUUUUCUCCUCUUCCUGUGAAAAAAGAAAGAGUGAGGCUAUGCCAUUCCAUAGCAUAUAUAGUUGUUGUGUGCCUCCCUAUAUGUCAAUAGAAUUGAACAAAAAUGUAACUGCUUGUACCUGACUGCUCAAUUUGCAUCAAUCUGCUCCAAACCUGGCACCUGGUUCUUAUUGCCUCAGUAAAUCCAUUAUUCGUAUGUUUAUCAAUAAAUAAGAAAAUAAAAUUGCAACUAAAUUAUGAUUUUUGGCAACCACAUUUGUGCCGUAAUUGUUUACAUGUAUUACUUUAGUAAAUAGGCCAAGCAUAUAGAUAUGAAAAAACAUUCUUUAUACUUCAUGACUCAUAAAAUAGAAAUCUCACAGUAAACCAUUUUACUUUUUUUAAAUAUAUAUCUUCAAAUGCUGAAAAUCUACCUUUUUUAGUAUAUCACAUGCAAAGCACUAUAUCCUGUAAACAUGGAAAAUCCUAUGCAACAGGUUCCGUUACAUGCUUGGAUUGCAAGGCAUGCAUCAGUACUGACGAAGAAGCUUAAUUGAACACUUCUGUGCACCAAAGCGUUGAAGGAAUACUAUUCUAGAUCAGAGGCUACCACAUGCUGUUGCCAGUAGCCCUAGAAUGUCAAUUAGAAUCCAUCUCAAGUCAAUAAAUAUAAGCCCAGAGCAGCUUUGUACUCUCAGUAAACAUACAGGUCUAUGACUGUAUUUUUCACAAAACCGUGUACUGCAACAAAGUAUUACCCGAGUGGUGCUCCAAUAACAUCUCUUUUUACCACAUGGCCAGGAAAGCUUCUAUGCAGAUCUCAGGCGAAAACAGUAAUGAUUUAUCAUCUUUCUGGGCAUCGUUCCGGCCUCACUGGUACCAGAGAAGACAGAACUAAAGUUCUGCAGUCUACCUUAUCGUGUCUUCACCGUGAAUCUUCGCUGCAAGCGUGUUGCCUCUGAAUCUUUUUCAGAAUGGCCCAGCAGGUCAAUAGUACCCUUGAACCGUUUCGCCGUUUGGAUAGUCACACCAACUGCAAAGUAAUUUGCAAAUCUACAUUUAGAAACAGAAUUUGCUUUAGACCACAUGCAUCUGAAGGCGAUGCCCUUCUUUUCAUGUAGAGAAUUGGGUAAGGCCACUCGCUGGCCUCUUUACAUGAGAUGCCAUCUGCUUCGUUGGCAUUGUAGUGUUGGAGGAGUUUAGGAGAAAAUAACAGCCAGUUUUUUAACGGAUCAUUUAUCCCCUUCAAAAUAAGGUUGCAGUACACAUAAAUAUUUCUUGCGUUAAGACUGAUCAUUUGAUCUUACUAAUCGAACGGCUUCCAUUCAAGAAAGAGAGGAUCUAGAUCAUUGCCGUUAAUUUCUUUGAACACAAGGAGCUUUCUAAUCAACUUAUGCUUCUGGAGGCAUUUGUAUGCUCAACUAGAAAUGUGAUGAUCGAAUGCACUCAAUUACUCCUUUGUCAGAAUCUAAAGCUAAAAGUUUUGUCUGAUCUAGAUGGCUGAAUGGCUAGCAAUGCAAGCUCAUUGACACUAUAGGGCCUCAUGGCUACAUGAACCUUUCCUUUUCCUUUCUGAAACUUUCUGUUUUACAAUGCUGAUCCCAAGACAGAUGCAUGUGGCAUAGCUCCCUACCCUUGUCUUUAGUCCUCUUCUUCUCUACGACACUUCAAAGAGGCUAAGCUUGUGAGGCACAAAAACAAGUUCAGUGGGCAAAAGAACAUGAUCUAAUGCAAGGUCCAGGCAGGCGGCAUCGUGACAACUUUCUCAUGCUGGUACAGCGCCCCUCCACGACCUACCAGCAUUGGAGAUCAUAAAAGUGUGUUAUCCAGAUAAAAAACAGAACAAAAGUCGGCUCCGUUAAAAGAAAUGAAAAGAAGAUCCUUCGGUGCUGUAAGACGUCCAGAGCCUGCUUGUGUGAGAAUCCUGGAAAGAGAGACACGGCUACUUGUAGGGCAGGCUUUGAAUCAUUUCACGAAGGGGCUAAAGAGCGCAGCAGCUGGACACGGUAGGGAAAGACAAAGGGGAAAGACAAAGAGAAAGAUCGGCAACAAAGGAGGAGGCGAACCAGGAGAUCAUGGCGCCGGUUGGUCUCCCCCCAGGCUUUAGGUUUCAUCCAACUGAUGAGGAGCUUGUGAACUAUUACCUCAAGAGGAAGGUCCAUGGCCAGAGCAUCGAACUCGACAUCAUCCCAGAGGUAGACCUCUACAAGUGUGAGCCUUGGGAGCUAGCAGGUAACCUGAAAAAUUAAACUCUGUUGUGUUGUUCAUCCUGUUGUCUAACUACUGCUGAGUCCUGAUUGAACUUGGGAUAUGUUCUUUGUUUCGGAAGAGAAAUCGUUCCUGCCCAGUAGAGACCCUGAGUGGUACUUCUUUGGGCCAAGGGAUAGGAAGUAUCCAAAUGGAUGCCGGACGAACCGAGCAACUCGGGCAGGAUACUGGAAAUCGACCGGCAAAGAUCGAUCCAUCAACUACCAGAAGAGGUCAAUCGGUAUGAAGAAGACAUUAGUCUUCUACCAAGGCCGAGCUCCUCAGGGGAUCAGGAGCAACUGGGUCAUGCAUGAGUACCGCAUCGAGGAAAGCGAAUGCAACAACACCAUGGGGGUUCAGGUUACUCCUUCAUUCUCCUCUCCUCACUUUCAGUAUCAGUUAAAUCAUUGUGUUUCUGCUACAUUUAGUGAGCUCAGGAUGCAGUUCAUAGUACUAAAAUCCAGCCAAUCUUGUAGUAAUCAUACCUUGGAAAUAUGCAGGAUUUUAGAGAUAUUGUCUUGCUAAAAUAAUUUUGUUUUUAUUAUAAACAGCAAAAAUAAAAUUGACAAUAAAAGAGGGAAAAAUUAGCUAGGGCAUACGCAAUUCAGGAAAACUACGUUGUUUAUGCAUGGAGUGCAUGAAAAGCUAGGGUUCUUAUCUCUUUUUCCCCGGCCCAUAUCCAUCAGCAUAAAGUAUUCCUUGCUUCCAUAGACCAUAGAUACUUUACAAAGUACAGCAGAAGUUCUUCUAAUGGGGUCACACAUGGUGCACUUUUUUUGGUACACUUGAUAAGACAAAUGUAACAUCCAAUCCUUGGUUUCUGAAUUGAAACCAUACUGUGUGACUGCAUAAGGGGUGCCACCACCGCCUCAUGAUGCAGGGUACACAUAAUCUAGGUCUUUUGCAUGUUGAUGCUACCUUAAAGCUUAGACAUCCUUCGGUGUGGCCCAGUGCUGUGUCGGUGGCUUUGCACUUUAUUCUCCAUGUCCCACUCCUACUUUACUUGGUAGUAAAACUGAACAUAAACUUCUGAUCCCAUGUAAACUGUAGAUUAGAUGGGAGAGCAGAGCACAGCAAACUUGCUAGCUAAAAAUUGUGCAUACUGGGCCAUCCUUUUCACAUUUCUGUGACUGUUUAUACAGUAAUAGUGUAGUACUAUUCAGAGUUUGUGCAUCGCUUCAUGUGACAACUAAAUUUGGUUACAUUUGGUCCAAACGUAACACACCAAAUACCCCACAAAAAACUCUUCAUAAGUGUGGAUGGUUGAUCAUAUUCUAAUAGACUAUUGGGUAGCAGCAUACUACAGUCAGCACUGAACUUGCAUAUCAUUUCCUGCUGCACAUAAUGCUGAAUUCUCUGGAGAUUCAUUUCCAAAGAUUGGUAAUAAACAAGGUUUAUUUAGCUAGAAACCCAGAAUUCUAUCAUGAAAAGCCAAGAGUAGCUAAUGAUAAGCCCUACAAAAGAGAACAAGAAAAAAAGCAGGAUGCGAACCCCGAUCCAGCACAUGUAUGAACAUAGAACGUUAUUUGAACGUAUAGAUAUAGCACAUGUACCAGAGCAGCAAAGUCCCCAACACAAUGAAGCAGCAGCAUCUACACGGUUUAUAAGUUUGAAGAUGCAAGUGUAAAACAGAUAUUCUAUUAUUAGAACGCAAAUAACUAAUUGUGAGUCUUAUAGAAAAAAAUUAAGAAAAAUAGAAAACAGACCCCAAUCCACCGCACAUAAACAUAGAAGGGCAUUCAAAUGUAUAGAUAUAGCACAUUAGCACAUGUAACAAAGCAGGAAAAGUCCCCAAAAUAAUGAAGCAGCGUCAUCGACACAGUUUAAGUUUGCAGCUGUAAAUUGUUCAGUAAAGCAGAAAGGUUAGAAUGGCAUUAAUUUUACAUCCAUAUGAUUCAAAUUAUAAGGGCAUAACGUUAUUUGAGCAGCAAAAUGCCCUGGCAUAAUGAAGAAGCAUAACUGACACAGUUUAAGUAUACAGUUGUAUAUCAUUCAGUAAAGCAGAAAGGUUAGCAUGGCAUUAAUUUUACAUCCAUAUGAUUCAAAUUAUAAAGAUAUAACGUUAGUUCAGCUUUUAGAUAUAGCACAGCAAAAUUCCCCGGCAUAAGAAAGAAGCAUCAUUGACACAGUUUAAGUAUGCAGCUGUGUAUUGUUCAAUAAAGCAGAAAGGUUAGCAUGGAAUUAAUUUUCCAUCCAUGUGGAACAUAAGAGACAGUUUGUUCCAUGUGAAAGCAAAAAAAAGGGGAAUGAGGUUUUGUUGUUCAUCUUUCUUGUUCUUUUACAGGACUCCUAUGCGCUAUGUCGGGUUUUCAAGAAAAAUGUGCCGGCUGGUGAAUUUGAAAAACAAGGGGAAUGCAGCUCAUCACAGGCUAAAGCAAAUCAAGAACAGGUUACAGACUUCGAGGAUGCUGGAGAGUCCUCAACUGCAAACGAGAAUGACAAAGACAAUUCUUGGAUGCAGUUCAUAGUGGAAGACCUGUGGUGCAGCAACAAAACCAAGUAAUGAACUAGAGAAUGCAGCUUGCUCAACAUGAUCUAACCAGAAAAUCCAGCACUAGUUACACUGUGUAUCUUUGUAUAUGUUUGAUAAAAACACUUCUCACUUUGGACAGUAUGAACACUUAAGUUUGGACUCUGAUUCUUGAUGUAGGCUUAUACUUCUCUUCUUUUGGUAAUGUAAUAUACAAAUGGGCUACUUUGUACUUGAAGUCUUCUUUUACCUGUAUCUACCAUCCAAUGCAAUGAUUUGUAGUGAAAGCACUAAUACAAAAGGCAGAAACUUAGUUCAAUGUAUCUUAUUCUGUGAACAGUUUUCAUGUUCCUAAAUUUUUUUGUAAUAUCAGUUUAUAAUGAUUUUAAGGGUAUCAGUCUCAAAUGUAAAGAGACCAAAGCUACUAAUACCAUUAGCAAUCACCAUUACCGACUAAUAAAAUUCAACUCAGAAAUGUAAGGUGCCAAUAUGGUAGUUAAUCGUUCUUAUUAAUGUUCAAAGGUUCCUGAGUUGCAAAAUGUAUACAAGUGGUGCUAUUGUCAUGUUCGUCAAUAGCCUAAGCUCGAUACGUGUGAAAUAAAGAAUAGCGUAAGCUACAUACAGUUUUCAGACUGUUUUCCAGAUGUAGGUUCUAACUAAAGCUGUUUAGAUAUCAUUAUACUCGCUUGGCCAUUUCAAGGCUGAAAGCCUGAAAUCUCCGCACUCAGGUUAUCAUAAAAUCCUUGGAUACAUGGCUGCAUGGGUUGCUGAAAACCAAACACAGAACCCGUCAACCUUUAUUUAUGCGCCUUUAGCACCAUAAUGUGUCGUAUAUUUUCCUAUCAUCUGCCUCUGAACAUGUUCAGUUCAUAUGCAUUUUCAGCCAAAGAAACAAGAUGGUUAAAUGGUUAUUGCAAUUCAAGAAGGUGUCAGGUAGUCAAAAUCUACUUUUAGCCGAAGAAAUUAGCUGCCUCUUACCACAAUUAAAAAAGAUGUUUCACAUAGUCAACAUCUAUUUUCAAAAUCAGGCAAAGAAAUCAGUUGCUUCCCAUCCCAAUCCAAGGCUAGCUAGUAUAAUUGUUUAUAUACUGUAUCAUAGUACUGGUUUGAUCAUUUCAAGGCUGUGAAAGCCAGAAAUCUCAGCACCCAGACAAUAACAAAUUCCUGGGAUAUAUGGCAACAUGGGUAUCUGUAAACCAAACCCAGACCCCAUCAACCUAAUCCACACUGGUUCAUGUUUCUCCAUGAUGCAUUCAGUUCAUAUAUCUUAUGAUCUUAUCAGCCAAGGAAAUCAACUGUGUUCUUGCCAGUUACCAACAUCAAAAAAGUUGGGUCAGGUAGUCAAAAUAUAAUUUCAGCCAAAGAAACCAGCUGCUCCUUACCAUAAUUCAAAAGGUAGUCCGUUGGCCGAUGUCCAUUUUCAAGAACAAGCAAAGAAAUCAGCUGGUUCUUAUCACAUUCAGAAUGUUGUCAGACAGGCAACACCUAUUUUAAAUAACAAAGUAAGGAAAUUCCCAUCACAGUUCAAAUGUUAUGAGGAGUCCUGAUUGGUAGCGCGUCCAAAUUGCAACCAAUAAAGCUGGUAGUAUGAACUACCAAAUCGAAGCUGUGGCUGAUCAUGACAGCUUUUGCAAAGACAUCGAGAUGGUAAAGCAGAUCUGUACCGAGAGGUCGCGGGAGCAGCAAAGUGGGUCGAUUCGGGGCAGAGGCGAGCACGCGAUCCCAACUCAAGGCCCCCCAUGGCGGCGGCCGCGUUCCACCGCCGCGGCACGACAGCCCUCAUCCCCGCGGUCAGCGGCGACCUCGGCUCCAAUCUGUUUCGGAAGCAAGAGUCAUGGGCCGUGAACGAAAACGAAGGGGGAAAGGAGAACAGAAUGCACCUCGGGUGUUCGACGAAAUGGCUGUAUGGAAACAGGUUUUGGGCUUACCUGCGCCGCCGCUUUGCCGGUGCAGACGAGCCGUUCCGUUCUCCUCGGUUCUCCGGCUGCUGGGUGGAUCGGUGUCAAUCGAUGGAUUUGGAAUUGGAAUUUGAAUCAGCUCGAAGUGGGCGUUUCACGAUUCGGGGACGGAAAUGCAGGGAUGGUUCAGAAUAGCACUGAAAUUCAGAGACGGGCAAUGGGGAAAAGUUAGCAUGCCGCGCACAUCCACAGCAACAGAGCAAGAGAUUGAAGGAAGAAUUCAGGGAUAAAACAGCUCAAAUGCCUUUCACAGUUCAGAGACUUCAGAUGGGGAAUCAGACCAGGCGAUGGAUGGGGGGCAGAGAAUGCAAAAUCAGCGAACGCACUGGAAGGCAUUCACAUCAGAAGAAUUUCAGGGAUAAACUGCUGCAAUUUCCAUUCCAAACUUCUUCCAGUACAUCUCUACAACAGCAACAUCAGCUCACAAGACGGGAGCAAACACCAAGGAGAUACCACUGCUCUUGCACGGAGAACCACGAACCCUAGACAGCAACUAGAUAGAUAGCACUACUACUCUCGGUCGGACGGCGGCGUCGCGAGCUGGAUCGAUGAACCCUCGGCCUAGCCUCCGAAGCCGUAGAGGGUGCGGCCCUGGCGCUUGAGCGCGUAGACGACGUCCAUGGCGGUGACGGUCUUGCGGCGGGCGUGCUCGGUGUAGGUGACGGCGUCGCGGAUGACGUUCUCGAGGAAGAUCUUGAGCACGCCGCGGGUCUCCUCGUAGAUGAGCCCCGAGAUGCGCUUCACGCCGCCCCUGCGCGCCAGCCGCCGGAUCGCCGGCUUGGU
rnacentral:lncRNA from 1 species